UCCAACAAAUGUCCUCCAAAGAACAGGUACAAGAGAAAUUCAGUUGGGAAAGCUAAUCUUGCCUGCUAAUAUAGAUAUUCUGCCUUUAAGUAUUGGACUUCACCGGGACCCUCACUUUUGGGGAAAUGAUGUGCAUCAUUUUAAACCUGAGAGAUUCGCUGAAGGGAUUGCCAAAGCUACCAAUUACACCGCGGCUGCCUUUUUCCCCUUCGGAUUAGGACCUCGAUCUUGUGUUGGUAUGACAUUUGCAAUGAUAGAAACCAAGAUUGCUCUCUCCAUGAUUCUACAACGCUACACCAUUACCCUUUCCCCUGCCUAUGUCCACUCUCCAGUACUUAUUCUUACCCUUCAACCCCAAAAUGGAAUUCAAGUAAUACUUGAGCCGAUACAUAGUAAUGCUUGAAGUACAUAGCCGUUAAGAACUAGAGGUUUAACAUGGUUCGUGAAUUCUACUUUUAAGAGAUGAUAUUUAAUAUGUUUAAAGGUUCUAGCAUUUAUCACAAAGACAAACGACUCGUGGUCAUGUUUACUUUUCAUCUAUCAUGCAAUGUCGAUGAGAAGAUACCAUUUACCAAUUAGUUGGGUUAUGAAUUCUACUAUUUUGAAUGAUGUUACAUACUAUAGAAGUUGUGUAUCCAGUGCACCAACUUUUAAUGGUUCUUUAUCUUAGCCUUUUACUUGCAUCAAAGUAUACGAGCCAUGCAUGCAUAGUCCAUCAUCCACUCAAGAUUAAGGUAUAUCACACUAUGAACAUCACAAGUAAAUAGAUCCAUAAAUGGAUUUAGAAUCGAUUCUCCUUGGGUCUUAUCUGAUGUACUGUCAGUCCAGUCAAUCACAUCUAUGUUUUUAUCUUUUAGGAGUCAUCUGUUCCAUUUGAGACAAAGCUUCUCCACAAUUGGGCUUGAUAGACGACAUAUUAGUUUCUCAAUCGAUUUGCUCAUUUUCAAUUAGACUAAGGACAUAUUUAGGUUUAUCUACUAAUACAAGCUAUCUUUUCAUAUCACGAUCUGACCACGUGAUACCGCUUAGUAUUAAUUUAAACAUUAGAUAACCAAUGAGUCAACAUUUGCUUCCAUUUUGCUUUGCAUGCAAAAACAUUGAGGACAAUAUCCAAAGGGUAUUACUUUAAUUAAUAGAUAUUAUUAAACCAAUUUGUUUGAAAAAUACAAUUAUAUAAAACGAACAUAGUACACUUAGUGUACCAGAUCCAACAGUGGCCACUACAGCUAGCAUUGCCAUUAUAAGCAACAUAACUUGACAUUUUUGGAGUUGAAAUCUUUUCAGCAAAAUCAGUUGGGCAACGACUUAGAUGAUUUUGUGGACAUGUGUUGGCUCAUAUUUGAAGAUCCAUUUUGUGGAAUCAAUCUUUGAAUAUUAAAUCAAUCUGAAUCAAGCAAAUUGGAUCACUUAUUUUGUGGAGAUUGGCUUGACUUAUUUGAAAAUUUAUUUUCGAAAUCUUUGAUUUAUUCUUGACUUUGAGGAUAUUUGUAAAGUUUUUUUUUACAAGGCUAUUUUUUGUGGGAUAUUGAUUCUAAUUGAUCUUUUAUCUUUGCAAACAUUAAAUUCUUAUAUAUUAGAGGCUUGUAUAAGUUAAAAAAAGAUAGAGUUUUUAUAGCACUUAUUUUUUUCAUUGAGGAACUUGUAUUUGAUAGUGCAUUAAGAGUGUAAAUUAAGUUUGUUGCUUGGUUUUACAACCAAAAUUCUCAAGGGAAUUUAGUGGUGAGUGAUUUAGAUCUUUAGAUACAAAAGUGAGGUUGCUAUACCGAGUUGUGAUAGGACUUCAAUAACUUGUUGUCUUGGGAUUAAAAAUAAUGAAUUUACUCACUAAGUUAGGUUUCAUAGACAUAGAAAAAUCGAUAUGCGUAAACAAUCAUUUGUGUUCCAUUUUUUGUUGUUGUGUUCAUCAUAGUGGCAUCAAAGGUUGCCACUACAGCCAUCACUUUGGUCAUCAAUUACGCACUUUAUUUUUUUAAGCAAUUAUCAACUUUAUGCUCCAAGAGAAUGCUUGUUUCUAGUACAAUUGAUCAAUUUUGUAGGAAGCAUAAUGACAAAAAAGAAAAUGGUUACAAUCAACCCCUUCUGUAACAACUCCAUUUGUAUCUUUGCAUGUUAUAAAAAGGUGGUUGUUAUAUACUAUAACAACAUGUUGUUAUAAAAAGAUAAUUAUUGUAAACCUAAAAUAGAAUUUAUAUCGUGAAUUACUAUCAAAUAAAGAAAUUGAGAAUUAUAUUAAAAAAAGGAAAGUAGAAAUCAAAUCAACAAAAUUAAAAGAUGUAUAAUAGGUGCAUGCAUUAUUACCUUUAUAUUUUAUUUUACAUUUUUCACAUGAUUAAUUAUAAAAUUCAUCAAUCUAACAAAUAAUUAAUCGAUAUGAGUUUAAAUUAAAUUAAAUUAGUUAAUUUAUCAUGUGUUAUUAAAUACAAGUAAUUAAUUUAUAAGAUUAUGAUGUUCUAAAUUCAUAGUAAAUUAAUAUUUAAUUAGAGAACUUAAUAGUUUAUUGAAUUGAUAUCUUUAAUUCCACGAAGAUUUUUCAUGUCAAAUUUAAACAUUUUAUUAAAAUAAUAUUUUAGUUAAGAUCAUUUUUAUUUAAUAAAUUAGAAUUCAUAUAAGCAAUAUAAUUAAUCAUAAUAAAUUAUAAUUAAUAGGCUUGUAUAUCGGUCCAGUGUAAUUAAUAGACUUGCUUAAAUGAGUUUUAAAAUAUAUUUUUAAAUUUAAAAUUUUAUUUCUUGAAUAAUGAAUUGUUACCUGCUUAAUUUAUGAAAUAUCUUUAUUGACUUAUUUGAUUGCAUUGGUGAAACAAUUAUUUUAGUAUUUUUAAAUUUUAUGUAUAUAAAAUUUUUAAAAAAAUAAUAAUAAAUCUAAAAUGACACAUCGAAACAGCUGAAUAUUGGCACAUGCGAAUACCAAUAAAAAAAUCAACAUCCACCAAUUUACCCGUUACUUUUUGGUAUUAGGUAGUGGGAGAUUUGGUUUUUGCUUUUGUUUUUGAGAUGUUGAUAUGUUUCACAUCAUCCAUAAGAUGGGCUCUACCUCACCUUUUGUUUGUCUGUUUCCCAUGCUUUCCAUACAAAUCACUAAAAGAAUGGGCUAAAAUGUCAAAUAAACUCUUCAAAAAUAAUUUUUAAAAAACUUAAUUAAGUCUCUUAUAAUAAAGUGCACCAAAUUGAGCUUUUUUAAAUCACAAUUUGCACUUAAUUAAUCCCCUUGAAUUCAUUUUCCCAUUGAAUCCCUUUACGUUCAGUUAACUGCUGACGGGGCAGGUGAUGUGGAAAAAUGAUGGUGUGUUAAUUAGUUUAUAUGGCAAGCUAACAUGGAGGGCUUAAAUGAUUUUUUAUUAUUUUACAAGGGUUUAAUUAAUUAUUUAAAUAAAAAUUAUUAAAAUUUUAAAAAAUCUAAUUUUAAAAUAUAAAUUAUAAAAAUCAUAAAAAAUAUUUUAAAAAUAUUAAAAAUGAUAGAAAAUUUUUAAAUGUUAUAAAUAGUUUAUAAAAACACAGGAAAUUUAUUAAAACAUCGUUAAAUAUAAAUACAUUAUCAUAAAAAUAGCAUAAAAUUUUAGAAAUUAUUAAAAAAUACAAAGAAAUACGAGUAAGUUAGAGAAAAUUAUUAAAAAUACAAAAAAUAUUAAAAAUUAGUAGUAACUUUUAUAAAAAUUAUUAAAUAGAUUUUUUUAUUGGUUUGGAGUGUUUGGCAUUUUCAAUUUUAUUUUUUUGGACAUUAGAGUCUUUGGUUUUAGUAAUAAGGAAAUGGGGAGAUUGAAGUGCGAUGAUCAAACUUGUGAGGGGUUUGAGUGACCAUGGGUUUAGUACUUGAUGGCUUAAAGUGAGCGAUCAAUAGAGGUGUUCAUGGACCGAUCCUGUUCAAAAAAUAAAAAAAAUGUUAAAGAAAGCUUUUCUAAAUAUUUUAUAUAUCUUAUAAUUAAGUUAAAAAUAUAUUUUUAUUAUUUUUAAAAUGGCGAAACGAAUCAUUUUGGCGAGCUAGGUCUAGUUGGGCUCAAGCCUAGAAAGUUUUAUGAAAUUAGGCUUAAGCUCCACCCAACUCAUGAAUACCUCUAGUGAUAUAUAAUGAUGUUGUAUUUGAGGAAAGAUGAUGCGAGGGACAUUAAUAAGGAAGGGUUGAUAUAUGAUGUAUGACAAUGCGUGAGAGAAAACAAAAAUGUGUAAUAAUUUUAAAUUUUUUAUAACUUUUUCUUUAAUUUUUAUAUUUCUUUAUAGUAUUUGAAUAGUUUUAAUAAAUUUUAUAUAUUUUUUCUAAAAAAAUUUAUAACAUUUUAUAUUUUUCUAUAUUUUAAUGUCUUAUAAUUGUUUAUAAAUUUAUAAUAAUUUUUAUGAAUUUUUAAUUUAUAUUUAAAAACUAGAUUUUUUUUUUAGAAUUUAAAAAUCGAAACAAUUGAAUAGGUGGAAUCGCUUCUUUAAAAAAUAUUUUUUUAUAUUUUUAUGAAAUUUUAAUUAUUUAUUUAAUCGUUGUUAGUUUAAGAGCCGAUUGAAUUAAGAAUCGAGAAUUUUAGACAUUGUGUCCUAACUUACGGGACGUGAUUCUUCUUCUGGAUUAACGUAGAAAUAUGCUUCUCUCUUUAAAGUUUAUUUUUCAAAAUUUUGAUAAAGGAUCGUAUUUUGAAUCUUUUUCAAGUUUUCAAUAUUCGACACUAAGACAUUAAUUAAUCAACUAGGUAUCAAUUUUGGGCGUUACGAGGGUGCUAAUCCUUCCUCGUGCGUAACCGACUCCCGAACUUAUUUUUCUAAAUUUCGUAGACCAAAACCGUUGUUUUAAUAAAAUCAAAUCGUUUAUUAAAAACAACUACUUUUCGAGGUGACCCGAUCACACCUCAUAAAAAAAAAGGAUUGGUGGGGACAUUUGUUUUCGUUUUCAAAAUCCAAGUCAAGCCCGUUUUAUCAAAAAAAUGGUUACUAGCUUUAGUCAAAAUUGUUAAGAUCAAUAGAAUAAGCGAAUAGCUUAGAAUGUCACUAAAUCUUUUGACGUGAAGACAAAUGACAACCUAAACACUUGACUCCAGUUACUCAGUCGAUCAGAAUUCUAAGACUUUACUCAUAAUUUAGCAAUUAGUGAGUAUUUAUUAAAUUAUUUUAUUGAUUAUUUUUCAAUUUUUUUCUUUUGUGAUCGAAUACAAGAUGAAACAUACUUUAAGAGUGUCAAUCUCGUUAAAGAUUGUGUGAGCCUAAUCGUUUUUUUUUUUUUUGUGAGUGCUUCAGCUAAGUAAUUAAUAAUUAUUAUUAUUUACUUUAAAAUAAUAAUAAAAUUCAUGUAAAAGAGUAGCAAUGGCAUAGUAUUGAAACAUGCUUAAUAGAAAAUAUUCUAUCAAUUUUUGAAUGGUUUAAACAAUAAAAUGAUAUCUAAAUUAUAUUAAUUUUUUAAAAUUGGUAUUUAAAUUUUUCUUUAGUCAAAAUGGUAUCUAAACAAUUAAUCUGUUAUCUAUUUAAUUCAGCCAAUCAUUUGCCACGUAAAAUAUUUAUUUAUUUUUUUCAAAAUAUUACUAAAAUUCGAUAAAUAAAAUUAAAAAUAGUUAAAAAUAAAACAUCAUAAAUUUAAUAAAAUUUAAACAUUAAGGGAAAACAUUUUACUGAUUGAAAAUACCCUUAAUCAGAUUUUACUAACAAUCCCUAUUUUUUUCAAACAAAUCACAAACUCUUUUAGUUCAAAAAAUUGCAAAUCAUCUUUUUACAACCUUCAUUAAUCCUUUGUGGAAUUGAUAGAAGGGUACGUUUGAAGAAUUAAUUUGUUUUUCUUGAAACCCUUGUUUGUCAAUUUCAUUGAUGAAACCUUUCUAAUUUCAUCAGUAUUUGAUUUUUAUUUUAGGUUAAUCGUAAAACUUUAAUUGAUUUGGGCAAACCGAAGGAGUUGUAAAAAGGUUGAAAGGUAUGAUUUAGGCUUAAGGGUUCUUUUAUAGUUAAUAUGUAGAAUCGAAUGUAUGUGACUUUUGGCAAGUUGUCGGUUCUUGAAAUUUUAUAUUGAGAAAGUAGAACACACCUUUUAAGGGGAAGUUCUUUGUUUGACUCGAGAUUAUUAGUCUGUUGACAAAAAGCCAAAAAAAUGUGCCAUUUGCUUUGAAGUUAUUUAUGAUUGUUUACGAUAAAUUGAGGGUUUUUAAUGGUGUUUAUAUAUGUAUUUUGUUAAGAUACAUAAUGAUACAACUAGAGUUUGUGAUAUGUUUUGAGAUGAUAGGCUUCUCGAUUAUGUGAUUUAUUGUCCUUAGCUAAUUCAAAUAUAGAUUAAUGAGGUUGGUUUAAUAUAUGUUGUAGGGAACAACGAAAAUGGGGAAAUAUUAAAUAUUACCCUAAAACAAAUUGAUAAUUAAUAUAGUUAAAUUAAAUCCAUUUUGUUUUGGCAAAUGAAAACCAUUGGUUUUUAAAGGUUUGAGAAUUGAGGAACCUUUGCAAAACAUAAUGCAAUAUCAUCACUAAAACACUGUUUAUAGGAGCUGAGUAUAAAUACUCUUUUCAUGUCUUUGUUGUUGGGUUUUUUAGGUCUUUUUGUGACAAUUAUCAGUCCUCUCAUUUCAAUAUUUAUGAUAAUAAUACCUGUAAAGCAUGUUGGUCAUGUCUUAUUUUUACUAUACUAAAAUUUGUACUAUUGUAGUACUUAUUAUUAAAGUUCUAGUCCCGUGACAAUUGGUAUUGGACUAAGAUUUGCAGCUUUCUGUUGAGAUGAGGAAAGGAGUAGAAGAGCAGAUUGAACCCAGAGAGACCCAUGGGAGGGGCAGGAACUAUUUAUAUAUUUUUGAGAUGUUGAUAUCUUCCAGAGCCUUUUAUGACCACACACGAUAAUGGGUAAGAUAGGGUCCUACCUGACUUUUGGUUUAUCUGUUUUGAAGGGGAAAAUGGUUCUGGUUUAGAGAAGAAAAAUGAAUGCGUUGAUGAAGCUUCUAAUUCUUGCUCCAUGUUGUUUCUUCUUCAUAGCUUUAAUAAAGUUACUUUAUGAUUACCUAUGGAUACCUCUCCGUAUUCAGCAUAUGCUGAAUUCACAGGGGAUCAAAGGACCUCCUUACAGAUUCAUCCAUGGCAACAACAACGAAGUUACCAAAAUGAAACAAAAUGCUUUAAGUAAAUCUGUGGGUUUGACUGAUGAUUUAUUUCCCAAAGUACAGCCACAUAUUUACACCUGGAUCAACAGAUAUGGUAAGAUCCAUGCUUGUUUUCUUCACUAAGAUUUACGACUUGUAGUUCUGAGAAAAGGUAGACCCUGUUGGUGCUGUAACUGAAACUAACAGACUCAGCACAGACUUGUCGAGCAAGUCUCGAGACUUGCUGAGCAAACAAGAGAAUUCGAGCAAAAGAAAGGAAGAAAAGCUAAGAAAAAAUGAAUAGGAAAAUUGAUGAACAAAACUGAACUAUAUUCAUAAAAUUGAAUAAUGGCAUAAUGCCAAUACAUAAAUCAAGCACUAAGCUUGUCAAAAACAGCAAGUAAUUACCUAAACAUCACCUACUCCCACUAAUUACAUGGAAACUUGAAAUUUUAGCUUGUAAACCUAUACAAAGUUGUGUUUACAGCUCAUACAUAAGCUAAUUACAUCAGUCAACAACCUAACUUAGUUAGAAAUGAACUAAGAUUACAUUUCAUUGACUAGAAAUUACAAAAUAAACAAAAUAAGCUUGCAUCAGCAGCUCCUGUAUGUCUUGGUCUUCAUGGCCUGCAUGCUGUCGAGUUUGUUGCAUGCUGAACCAACUUCAUCACUCCUCCUUGGUUUGCAUGGAGCAAACACCUAGCUUCUUUCUUAGACAUUCGAACCUUGUGACACUAAGGGCUUUGGUUAAAAUGUCUGCAAGUUGAUCCUCUGAAUUACAGUGGAUCAGCUUUACUUCCUGAGCUUGCUCCAUUUCUCGAACAACAUGCAGCUUGAUGCUGAAAUGCUUUGUUCUUCCGUAGAACACUGGAUUUUUAGCAAUUGCUACAGCAGAUUGGUUGUCACAGAAGAUCUCAGUAGCUUCCUCUUGAUGCAUAUUCAAGUCAGCUAAGAUUUUCCUUAGCCAUAUGGCUUGGUUGACAGCACUUGCUGCGGCCACAUACUCUGCUUCAGCAGUAGAUUGAGCCACUAGACUUUGCUUCUUCGAGCUCCAGCAAAACAUGGCUAAACUAAGAUUAAAAGCAUACCCUGAGGUGCUUUUCAUGUCAUCUAUCGAGCCAGCCCAGUCACUAUCAGUGUAGCCAACCAGCUUCAGAUUUCCUUCUUUGCUAUACUUCAAACCAUAGUUCAAAGUGCCUUUGACAUAUCUCAGCACUCUCUUUGCAGCUUGGAAAUGCUUCUCAUUGCAGCAAUGCAGGAAUCUUGAGAGCAAUCCUAUAGCAUACAUGAUGUCUGGUUUAGUGGCAGUCAAGUAUAGCAAACAACCAACUAGACUCCUGUAGGUUGUUUCACAUACCUUCUCAAAAACACCUUGGCUCGAUAGUUUUUCUCUAACAGCAACAGGUGUUUUAGUUGCCUUGUUGUUUUGCAUGGAAAACUUGGUCAGAAUCUUUGUGGCAAAGCUUCUCUGGCUUAGAAAUAUCUCAUUCUGUACUUGAGACACCUCCAUUCCAAGAAAAUAGGACAUCUCCCCAAGAUCAGACAUUUCAAACACUUCCUGCAUCUUGGUCUUGAAAUCAGCCAGCACUGCUCGAUCUCCUCCUGUCACCAGAAGGUCAUCAACAUACAGGGACACAAUGAGUUGUGUUUGUGUCCAUUGUUUCUUGACAUACAGUGUUGGCUCACUCUUGCUUCGAUCGAAUCCCAGAUCAGUCAAGUAGCCAUCGAUUCUGCUGUACCAGGCCCUUGGAGCCUGUUUUAAUCCAUAUAGGGCUUUCUUCAGUUUGUAGACCAUAUGCUCUUUGCCAGCUAUUUCAAACCCUUGUGGUUGUUCAACAUAGAUGUUUUCAUCUAGGAAACCAUUCAGAAAGGCUGAUUUUACAUCGAGCUGAUGGAUCUUCCACUCGAGCUGUACUGCUAAGCCAAUCAGUAGUCUGAUGGUGUCGAGCCUGGCCACUGGUGCAAAGGUCUCCAAGUAGUCCAGGCCAUAUCUCUGACUGAACCCCUUGACUACUAGCCUUGCUUUCAGCUUAUUCAAGGUACCAUCAGCAUUCUGUUUGGCUUUGUACACCCAUUUCACCCCAAUCACCUUCCUUUUGACUGGCCUUUCAACCAAUUCCCAGGUCUGGUUCUUCUCAAUCAUGUUGAUCUCCUCAGCCAUUGCCUGCUUCCACCCUUGCUGAGCCUCAGCCUCUUCAAAGUUGCUUGGUUCAGCUAUGGCUACAUGAGCCCUUUCAUAAAUCUCAGUCAAUGGCCUUGUUCCUCUGACUGGUUCAUCAUCAAUGUCCAUUUCUGGAACAUUUUGGUCUGGCUCAGCUUGGUCUGUUGCUAGUUCUUCAGAAACUUCUUCAGGUUCAUGUCUUUCCCAGUUCCAACAUGACCUUUCAUCAAAUACCACAUCCCUACUAACUGACACUUUGUUUGUUGAAGGAUCCAAGAUCCUAUAGCCCUUCUUAACAGUGCUGUAGCCCACCAGUACAGCAGGUUGAGCCCUUUCAGACAAUUUGUCCCUUUUAACAGCAGGUACAUGUGCAUAACAAAUGCAUCCAAAGACUUUCAGAUGAGCCAGUGAUGGCUUGAAGCCAAAUCAGGCCUCGAAUGGGGUCUUCUGAUCCAAGGCCUUUGUUGGUAGUCUAUUUUGAAUGUAUGUUGCAGUGUUAACUGCUUCUGCCCAUAGUAUUCUAGGCAAAUUCUUCUGAAUCAUUAAGCAUCUGGCCAUAUCCAUCAAACUCCUGUUCUUCCUUUCACUUACACUAUUCUGCUGAGGUGUAUAUGUGUUGGUAAGUUGAUGUUUGAUGCCUGCCUUAUCACAGAAGGCUUGGAACUGAGCUGAGGUGUACUCAGUCCCAUUAUCAGACCUUAUGGUCUUCAGCUUGCAGCCUAUUUCAGUCUCAGAAGCAGUCUUGAACUUCCAAAACACUGAGGCCACCUCUGAUUUUUGUUUUAAGAAGUAAAUCCAACAAUAUCUUGAAAAAUCAUCAAUGACCAGUAUAAAAUACCUAUUUCCACUUAAUGACUCAGUCUUCAUAGGGCCACACACAUCAGUAUGCACCAGUUGGAGUUUUUCAGAGGCUCUCCAGGCUUGAUUCGAGGGAAAUGGGAGUCUGGCCUGCUUUCCUAGCUGACAUACUCCACAUACAUCAUCAUGGUCCACUGAGUUGAUGAAGUUUUUAGCCAGGUCUUCUCUGACCAUUCGGGCCAUCGAUCUGAAGUUGGCAUGUCCCAGCCUUUGAUGCCACAACUUGGAUUCAUCUGAUGUGGCUGUGUAGGCAAUGUCUGACUUCUUUGUCCAGUCAACCACAAAGCUCUUAUCAGCCAUAGGGACUGCCAUCAGUUUGGAUCCACUUGGAUCACUGAUUUGGCACUGGUUGUCUUUGAACACAACAGAAUACCCUUUCUCCAGCAAUUGAGCUAUGCUAAGCAGGUUUCUGUCAAUUUCAGGCACCAAGAGCACAUUUGAAAUCACUUUGGCACCUGUAGAAGUGCAUAUCAGCACAUCACUCUUGCCUUCAGCUUGAAUGAAAUGACCAUUUCCUAUUUUGACCUUAGUUCUGCAGCUUCUGUCUAAAGACUUGAAGAUUGCAGCAUCAGGUGUCAUGUGGUUGGUGCAUCCACUGUCUAGGAGCCAACCAGAUGAGAACCUUUCCUGAGCAGCUGAGCAUGACAUAGUAAAAACUUGCUCCUCUUAGUCACUGUCCUCCUUAGCUACUCGAGCCUCAGCUUUCAUCUGUUGAAACUGAUUGUGCCUUGAUUUGGCCUUGCUCUUGCAAACUCUCUCAACAUGACCCUUCUUCUUACAAUGCUGACAUACAGUUUCUGGAUUAAACUAGCACUUUUCUUCUAGAUGACCAACCCUUCUGCAGUGCUUGCAAGUCUGACCUUCUCUCCUUGCAGCAUCAUUCUUUGGCUUGUCUCUCCAGGCCUUCUUGCCUUUAUAGGCAGUGUUUAUUCUUUCCUGAAAGGCACCUUCUUGAUGCUCCUCCAGCCUGCUUGCUCUCCUCUACUCUUGAGCAUAUAGAGCAUUGAUCAACUCUGUCAGGGAGAUGGUGGACAGAUCCCUUGAGUCCUCGAGAGAUGAGAUUUUUGCCUCAUACCUCUCAGGCAGAGUUGCUAUAACCUUCUCCACUAUCCUAGCUUCAUUGAACUGCUCUCUAAGGAGCCUGAUGCUGUUAACCACAGCCAUAAUCCUGUCAGAAUAUUGCUUGACAGUUUCUUCUUCCUUCAUCUUCAAAUUCUCGAAAUCUCUCCUCAAGUUCAACAACUGUUGCUGCCUUGUCAUCUCUGUCCCUUGAAACUCUUCCUGCAACUUGUCCCAGGUCUGUUUUGGUGAUUCACAGGCCAUAAUCCUUGUGAAAAUCACAUCAGACACUGAGUUCUAGAUGCGAGACAUGGCUUUGUGCCUCUUGGUCCUCUCAUCAGCAUGCUGCCUGAUCUGAGCCACUGUUGGAUUGCCUCUAAGUGGUUCUGGUUCAACAUCUGAGUUGACCACCUCCCACAGAUCGUAUGCCUGCAGGUAGGUCUUCAUUUUGACCACCCAUAUGUGAUAGCCUUCUCCAUUGAAUACUUGAGGUGCAGCUGGUGAAAAGCUUGAUGAAGCCAUGUAUUUGUAUAACAGAUCCCUUAAGAAAUAGGCUCUAGAUACCAAUUGUUGGUGCUGUAACUGAAACUAACAGACUCAGCACAGACUUGUCGAGCAAGUCUCGAGACUUGCUGAGCAAACAAGAGAAUUCGAGCAAAAGAAAGGAAGAAAAGCUAAGAAAAAAUGAAUAGGAAAAUUGAUGAACAAAAAAGAACUAUAUUCAUAAAAUUGAAUAAUGGCAUAAUGCCAAUACAUAAACCAAGCACUAAGCUUGUCAAAAACAGCAAGUAAUUACCUAAACAUCACCUACUCCCACUAAUUACAUGGAAACUUGAAAUUUUAGCUUGUAAACCUAUACAAAGUUGUGUUUACAGCUCAUACAUAAGCUAAUUACAUCAGUCAACAACCUAACUUAGUUAGAAAUGAACUAAGAUUACAUUUCAUUGACUAGAAAUUACAAAAUAAACAAAAUAAGCUUCCAUCAGCAGCUCCUGCAUGUCUUGGUCUUCAUGGCCUGCAUGCUGUCGAGUUUGCUGCAUGCUGAACCAACUUCAUCAGACCCUUUUUCUUUUCAUGUUAUUAGGGAAGAAUUUUGUUUAUUGGAAGGGUGCUCGAGCAGAAUUGGUGAUUUCAGAGCCUGAAUUAGUCAAAGAGGUUCUGAAAAAUAGUGAACAAAUUUUUCAGAAAAAGAAACUUUCAGAUAUUGGUAGGAAGUUCUUGGGGGAAUGGUCUUAUUUUCAUUGAGGGGGAAAAAUGGGCAAAGCAUCGAAAGCUGGCCAAUCACACUUUCCAUGGGGAAAGCCUAAAGGUAAGUCUUCUAAAUAUAUAAACUAGGUGUAAUUAAUUUACAAGAAUUAUACAUAGACUACAAUAUUUUGGUAAAAUUGUGUAUUGUUAGCUAAGGAUAAGUUUAUUAUGGGCGUUGAAAAAGUGUAGUAAAAACAUACUUUUGAAAAAUUUAACACCAUUUACUACUUAGGAGGUCAAUUUUAAACUUGAUGUUCUAAAAUAAAAGAUUGAAUCAGAAAUUUUAAAAAAAAAGUAAUUUCAUUAAAAAGCACUCUUUUAGCUUUUUGACUUGGAUUAAAAUCUAGUUUGAAAAGGUGUUUAUUUGUCAAAUUGUUUAAUUUGAAAUCAUGAUUUUGUGUUGAAAAGUGUUUUUCUGACUCCAAUUAUAUAUGUCACUACUACUUACAUAUAGGAGGAUUGUUUGGGCAGAACAUGACUCCAGCAAUAAUUGCUAGUGUUGAAACAAUGCUAGAAAAGUGGAAAGGCCAAUAAGGCAAAGAGAUUGAACUGUACCAAGAAUUUAGGUUAUUAACUUCAGAAGUGAUUUCCAGAACAACAUUUGGUAGCAAUUACAUGGAAGGGGAGAAGAUUUUUGCCAUGUUAGACAAGUCGACAAUAAUUGUGAGUCAAAAUCUUUCUAAGACUAGAAUUCCUUUGAUCAGGUAUCUUCCCUCUAAGCUUAAUUAAUCCCAACUUUUACCUUGAUUUCAACUAGCUUUUGAAUGCAACUUUUAGACUUUCAUUCCCCCUGGAUUUGGUUUUCUCCUUAUAUAUAGCUGACCCUGGUUUGCUUUUGCAGCAAGUUGUGGAAAUCUGCUGAUUUGCUAGAGUCUGAAAAACUUUCAAAAGAAAUAAAAGAUCGUCUGAUGAAGAUUGUUAAGAAAAGAGAAGACAAAGUUGUGAAUGGAGAAGUCAAUAGCUUCCGCAGUGAUUUUUUUGGAUUACUUCUAAAUACCUAUCAUGAUUCGGAUGAGAAAAACAGGAUUUCAUUGGAAGACUUGGUAGCUGAAUGCAAAACAUUCUAUUUUGCUGGACAAGAAACUGUUAAUUCCUUACUUGCAUGGAGAUUGGCAAGAAAAAGCGAGAAGAGAGGUGGUUGACAUAUUUGGUAACCAAAAUCCACAUCUCGAAGGCAUCGCCAAACUCAAAAUAGUAAGAAAACUAUCUAACUGGGAAUUCAAAUAGCCAUCGACAUGAUGUAAUCUGACAUAUUUUUCUAUUUUCCAAACAGAUGACCAUGAUCAUCAAUGAAACUCUAAGAUUGUAUGGUCCAACAGGUGUCCUCCAAAGAACAGUUACAAGAGAAAUUCAGUUGGGAAAGCUACUCUUGCCUGCUAAUAUAGAUAUUCUGCCUUUAAAUAUUGGACUUCACCGUGACCCUCACUUUUGGGGAAAUGAUGUGCACCAUUUUAAACCUGAGAGAUUCGCUGAAGGGAUUGCCAAAGCUACCAAUUACACCGCGGCUGCCUUUUUCCCCUUCGGAUUAGGACCUCGAUCUUGUGUUGGUAUGACAUUUGCAAUGAUAGAAACCAAGAUUGCUCUCUCCAUGAUUCUACAACGCUACACCAUUACCCUUUCCCCUGCCUAUGUCCACUCUCCAAUACUUAUUCUCACCCUUCGACCCCAAAAUGGAAUUCAGGUAAUACUUGAGCCGAUACAUAGUAAUGCUUGAAGUACAUAGCCGUUAAGAACUAGAGGUUUAACAUGGUUCGUGUAUUGAACUUUUAAGAGAUGGUAUUUAAUAUGUUUAAAGGUUCUAGCAUUUAUCACAAAGACAAAUGACUCGUGGCCAUGUUUAAUUUUCAUCUAUCGUGCAAUGUUGAUGAGAAGAUAUCAUUUACUCAUUAGUUGGGUUAUGAAUUUCACUAUUUUGAAUAAUGUUACAUACUAUAGAAGUUGUAUAUCCAAUGCACCAACUUUCGGUAGUUCUUUAUCUUUUUGAACUUAGCCUUUCACUUGCAUCAAAGUAUACAAGUCAUGCAUGUAUAGUCCAUCAUCCACUCAAGAUUAAGGUAUAUCACGCUAUGAGCAUCAAAAGUAAAUAGAUCCAUAAAUGGAUUUAGAAUCUAUUCUACUUGGGUCUUAUCUGAUGUACUGUUAGUCCAGUCAAUCACAUCUAUGUCUCUCUCUUUUAGGAGUCAUCUGUUCCAUUCGAGACAAAACAUUUCCACAAUUGGGCUUGAUAGACGACAUAUUAGUUUUUCAAUCGAUUUGCUCAUUUUCGAUUAGACUAAGGACAUAUUUAGGUUUAUUUACUAAUACAAGCUAUCUUUCCAUAUCUAAUUCAAAUAUAGAUGAAUGAGAUUGGUUUAAUAUAUGUUGUAGGGAACAACGAAAAUGGGGAAAAAUUAAAUAUUACCCUAAAAUAAAUUGAUAAUUAAUAUAGUUAAAUUAAAUCCAUUUUGUUUAGGCAAAUGAAAACCAUUGGUUUAAAAGGUUUGAGAAUUGAGGAACCUUUGCAAAACAUAAUGCGAUAUCAUCACUAAAACACUGUUUAUAGGAGCUGAGAAUAAAUACUCUCUUUUCAUGUCUUUGUUGCUGGGUUUUUUAGGUCUUUUUGUAAUUAUCAUUCCUCUCAUUUCAAUAUUUAUGAUAAUAAUACCUGUAAAACAUGUUCGUCAUGUCUUGUUUUUACUAUUUAUGUAAACAUGAUUCCGGUAUAAACUAUACUAAAAUUUGUACUAUUGUAGUACUUAUUAUUAAAGUUAAGAAAUUAUUUAAGGUCGUGCGAUUUGUAAAAUUAAAGUUCUAGUCCCGUAAUAAUUGGUAUUGAACUAAGAUUUGAAGCUACCAGUUGAGAUGAGGAAAGGAGUAGAAGAGCAGAUUGAACCCAGAGAGACCCAUGGGAGGGGCAGGAGCUAUUUAUAUAUUUUUGAGAUGUUGAUAUCUUCAGGAGCCUUUUAUGACCACACACGAUAAUGGGAAAGAUAGGGUCCUACCUGACUUUUGGUUUAUCUGUUUUGAAGGGGAAAAUGGUUCUGGUUUAGAGAAGAAAAAUGAAUGCGUUGAUGGAGCUUCUAAUUCUUGCUCCAUGUUGUUUCUUCUUCAUAGCUUUAAUAAAGUUACUUUAUGAUUACCUAUGGAUACCUCUCUGUAUUCAGCAUAUGCUGAAUUUAGAGGUGAUCAUGAGUUGGGCGCCCUGGCCCAGCCUGACGGCCCGCCUGAAAAAUGAGAGGGUUUGGGUAAAAAAAAGAGACCCGUUUAAAAAAUAGGCCAAGCCUCAGGUAAAAUUUUUUUGGCCCCGGCCCAGCCCGAAAUAUAUAUUAAAUAUAUUUUUUUAAUCAUAUAUAUAUAUUAAAUAUAUACUUUUUUGGUGUUGUAAAAUUUAAUAUGGGCCAGGCCGGGCAGGGCUUAGCAAUUUUUUUCAGGUCGAGCUUGGACAAAUUUUUAGGCCCAUAUCUUGGGCCGGAUCAAGCCCGGGCUUAGAAAACGGGCCUAAAAUUUUAUCUUGGGCCGGUCCUGCCUGGCCAAUGAUCAUCUCUAGCUAAAUUCACAGGGUAUCAAAGGACCUCCUUACAGAUUCAUCCAUGGCAACAACAAGGAAGUUAUACUUUAAUUAUUAUUAUUUAUUUAAUUAUUAUUGGUCUAGUAGUCGAACCGAUUGAAUAAGAAAUCAAUAGUUUUAUCUUUUAACUGAUACUGUGAGAUUGUAGCACAUCAUCACCUAAAAAUUUAUAUAAUUUUUUUAAUUUUCAAGUGAUACAUAUGAUCAUGUCACAUCAUCAAACUUUUAAAAUUUUCAUGUUCAAAGAUUAAAAUAGACCUAAUUGUUAAAUUCAAAUGACAAAGUGGGCCAAAAAAAUCCUAAUAGCCAAUAAUAGAAAAAAUAUAUUAUUUAAAAAAAUAAAAAUAUUAAAGAAGACCCACGUGGUGAUAUUUCUCUUUUUCCAUAGUUCCCGACAAUAUUGUUGCCGUCUAUAUGUCGUAAAUAUGCUGCAACCAGCAAAAUUUGUUUUCUAAUAUUUGGCAACUUUUACUUGCAAGACAACGAAGAAAAACACUUAAAUAAUUAGUUCAGUCCUCCUCAAUAAUGGGAGAAUGUUUUUCAAGGCAAAAAUAGCUUCAAAAUCUACUCUUACUAAAAAAAAAAAAUUAUUAUCUUUUGUCCAUUUAAUUCAUCCACUAUUUAUAAUUAAAUAAUUAAAUUUCAAUUGAUAAUACCAAUUCCUUCAAUUCAAUCAUGUGUUGUUUUUUUUUAAAAAAAAAAACCUUACACGAAAUUCAUAUAAGAUAUAUAUGUAUAUAUCGAUUUUCAUUCUAUCUUUUUAAAAUAGAUUUGAAGAAUCUUACAAUUCGAGAAUUAAUAUUUUCAUUUGCUUAUUUGACUUUCCACGUGUAUGUAUUAGCUAGAUGAGUAUGAUUUUUUAUUUCGUAAGUGCCAAAUAAAUAUUACUUUAACAAAGGUUUUUUUUUUAUUACAAUGUUAUGAAUUGAAUUUCAAAAGUGCAAAUGAUACAGGGAGUGAAAGCAUAGUUAGACCUAAAAGAAACUAAGAAGUCAGUUGUUAUUGAGAAACGUCCUAAAUCCACUAUAUAAAAACAAAAGGACCAUCUGGAUUCAGUGUUAAGAGAAGAAACAUGAGUGAUUUGAUGGAGCUUGUGAUACAGCAUAUGCUGAAUUCAUAGGGAAUCAAAGGACCUCUUUACACAUUCAUCCACGGCAACAACAAGCAAAUUACCUAAAUGAAAAAGAAAGCAUUAAACAAUCCUGGCGUUGCAGUGGAACAGAUUAAAGCUACAAAUUAUGGUAGUGGAGCAGAUUAGAGCUACCAGCCUUAUCUCCCUGAAGUUGUAGCGGAGCAGACUGAAGAUAGAGAAUCUUAUUUCCCUAGCGUUGCAGUGGAACAGAUUAAAACUACAAGUUAUGGCGGAUCUUAUCUUCCUAAAUUUGCAAUGGAGCAGAUUAAAGCCACCAGCCUUAUCUCAUUGAAGUUCCAGCGGAGUAGAUCAAAGCUACAAGUCUCUUCUCCCUAAAAUUACAUUGGAGCAUAUCAAAACACCAAUUCCUAUACCCCUGAAGAUGCGAUGAAAUGGAAUGAGACUACUUGAAAGAAAGAAGCACCAUAAAGUCAAGAUUCGGCAAGACCAGGCAAAAUUAGCCUCUUUAAAGUCUUUCUACCAUUCUCAUUACACGAGAAUGAGCAAAGAGGGACAGUUGUAAUAGGCCAAUUUUGGCCCAGGCUCAAAACCAAAUAAAUAAAACCAAAACCUGAGAGAUUCGCUGAAGGGAUUGCCAAAGCUACCAAUUACACCGCGGCUGCCUUUUUCCCCUUCGGAUUAGGACCUCGAUCUUGUGUUGGUAUGACAUUUGCAAUGAUAGAAACCAAGAUUGCUCUCUCCAUGAUUCUACAACGCUACACCAUUACCCUUUCCCCUGCCUAUGUCCACUCUCCAAUACUUAUUCUCACCCUUCGACCCCAAAAUGGAAUUCAAGUAAUACUUGAGGCGAUACAUAGUAAUGCUUGAAGUACAUAGCCGUUAAGAACUAGAGGUUUAACAUGGUUCGUGUAUUUUACUUUUAAGAGAUGAUAUUUAAUAUGUUUAAAGGUUCUAGCAUUUCACAAAGACAAACGACUCAUGGCCAUGUUUACUUUUUAUCUAUCAUGCAAUGUCGAUAAGAAGAUACCAUUUACCCAUUAGUUUGGCUAUGAAUUUCACUAUUUUGAAUGAUGUUACAUACUAUAGAAGUUGUAUAUCCAGUGCACCAACUUUCGGUUCUUUAUCUAUUUGAACUUAGCCUUUUACUUGCAUCAAAGUAUACGAGUCAUGCAUGCAUAGUCUAUCAUCCUCUCAAAAUUAAGGUAUAUCACACUAUGAACGUCACAAGUAAAUAGAUCCAUAAAUGGAUUUAGAAUCUAUUCUACUUGGGUCUUAUCUGAUGUACUGUCAAUCCAGUCAGUCACAUCUAUAUUUUUAUCUUUUAGGAGUCAUCUGUUCCAUUCGAGACAAAGCAUCUCCACAAUUGGGCUUGAUAGACAACAUAUUAUUUUUUAAUUGAUUUGCUCAUUUUCAAUUAGACUAAGGACAUAUUUAGGUUUAUCUUCUAAUACAAGCUAUCUUUUCAUAUCACGAUCUGACCACGUAAUACCGCUUAGUAUUAAUUUAAACAUUAGAUAACUAACGAGCCAUUAUUUGCUUCCAUUUUGCUUUGCAUGCAAAAAUAUUGAGGACAAUAUCGAAAGGGUAUUAAUGUAAUUAAUAGAUAUUAUUAAACCAAUUUGUUUGAAAAAUACAAUUAUAUAAAACGAAUAUAGUACACUUAGUGUACCAAAUCCAACAGUGGCCACUACAGCUAGCAUUGCCAUAAGCAACAUAACUUGACAUUUUUGGAGUUGAAAUCAUUUUAACAAAAUCAUUUGGGCAACGACUUAGAUGGUUUUGUGGACAUGUGCUGUCUCAUAUUUGAAGAUCCAUUUUAUGGAGCAAUCAAUCUUUGAAGACUAAAUCAAUUUGAAUCAAGCAAGUCAGAUCACUUAUUUUAUGGAGAUUGGCUUGACUUUUUGAAAAUUUGUUUUCGAAAUAUUUGAUUUAUUCUUGACUUUGAGGAUAUUUGUAAAGUUUUUUUUUACGAGGCUAUUUUUUGUGGGAUAUUGAUUCUAAUUGAUCUUUUAUCUUUGCAAACAUUAAAUUCUUAUAUAUUAGAGGCUUGUGUAAGUUAAAAUAAGGUAGAGUUUCUAUAGCACUUAUUUUUUCAUUGAGGAACUUGUAUUUGAUAGUGCAUUAAGAGUGUAAAAUAAGUUUGUUGCUUAGUUUUUCAACCAAAAUUCUCAAGGAAAGAACUUAGUGGUGAGUUGUGAUAGGACUUAAAUAACUUGUUGUCUUAGGAUUAAAAAUAAUGGAUUUACUCACUAAGUUGGGUUCCAUAGACAUAGAAAAAUCGAUAUGCGUAAAUAAUCAUUUGUGCUCUAUUUUUUUGUUGUUGUGUUCAUCAUAGUGGCAUCUAAGGUUGCCAUUACAACCAUCACUUUGGUCAUCAAUUACGCACUUUAUUUUUUUUCAGCAAUUAUCAACUUUAUGCGCCAAGAGAAUGCUUGUUUCUAGUACCAUUGAUCAAUUUUGUAGGAAACAUAAUGACCAAAAAGAAAAUGAUUACAGUCAACCCCUUCUGUAACAACUCUAUUUAUUUGUUAAGAUUUUGCAAGUUAUAAAAAGGUGGUUGUUAUAUACUAUUACAACAUGUUAUAAAAAGAUAAUUAUUGUAAACCUAAAAUAGAAUUUAUAUCGUGAAUUACUAUCAAAUAAAGAAAGUGAGAAUUAUAUUAAAAAAAGGAAAGUAGAAAUCAAAUCAACAAAAUUAAAAGAUGUAUAAUAGGUGCAUGCAUUAUUACCUUUAUAUUUUAUUUUACAUUUUUCACAUGAUUAAUUAUGAAAUUCAUCAAUCUAACAAAUAGUUAAUCGAUAUGAGUUUAAAUUAAAUUAAUUAAUUUAUCAUGUGUUAUUAAAUUCAAAAUGGUACCUAAACAAUUAAUCUGUUAUCUAUUUAAUACAGCCAAUCAUUUGCCACGUAAAAUAUCUAUUUAUUUUCUUUUAAAAUAUUACUAAAAUUCGAUAAAUAAAAUUAAAAAUAGUUAAAAAAUAAAACAUCAUAAAUUUAAUAAAAUUUAAACGUUAAGGAAAAACAUUUUACUGAUUGAAAAUACCCUUAAUCAGAUUUUACUAACAAUCCCUAUUUUUUUCAAACAAAUCACAAACUCUUUUUGUUCAAAAAAUUUCAAAUCAUCUUUUUACAACCUUUAAUCCUUUGUGGAAUUGAUAGAAGGGUACGUUUGAAGAAUUAAUUUUUUUUCUUGAAACCCUUGUUUGUCAAUUUCAUUGUUGAAACCUUUCUAAUUUCAUCAUUAUUUGAUUUUUAUUUUAGGUUAAUCGUAAAACUUCAAUUGAUUCGGGCAAAUCGAAGGAGUUGUAAAAAGGUUGAAAGGUAUGAUUUAGGCUUAAGUUAACACCAUUUGUAAAGGGUUCUUUUAUAGUUAAUAUGUAGAAUCUAAUGUAUGUGACUUUUGGCAGGUUGUGGGUUCUUGAAAUUUUAUAUUGAGAAAGUAGAACACACCUUUUAAGAGGGAAGUUCUUUGUGACUCGAGAUUAUUAGUCUGGUGACAAAAAGCCAAAAAAUGUACCAUUUGCUUUGAAGUUAUUUAUGAUUGUUAAUGAUAAACUUAGGAUUUUUAAUGGUGUUUAUAUAUGUAUUUUGUUAAGAUACAUAAUGAUAAAACUAGAGUUUGUGAUAUGUUUUGAGAUGAUAGGCUUCACGAAUAUGUGAUUUAUUGUCCUUAGCUAAUUCAAAUAUAGAUUAAUGGUGCCACUGCCACAGGCAGCACAACUCCCCUUAUAAUGGGGGGACCAUUCGGCUGGUGGGUGGAAAAGAAAAGGAGAGGGAAAGAAAUGGAAAGGAGAAGAAAGAAAGAAAAGGAAAGGAGAACACUACACCAGAACAGGCUUUUAGCGGCAUAUUUUGUGGCGUUUUGAUAACAAACGCCGCUAAAAAUCAAGCAUUAGCGGCGCAAAGAAUAAAACGCCACUAAAGAUCUAGCAUUAGUGGCGCUUCUUAUAAAACGCUGCUAAAGAACAUAAUUCGCGGCGUUUACCACACAGCGCCGCAAAAUCUCAAGACCAACACGCAGCGUUCUGGUCUUGAUGUAUAUUAGCAUUAGUGGUGCUUACGAACAAACGCCGGUAAUGUAUAGUAUUAGCGGCGCUUAGCGGAAGCGCCGCAAAAGAUGUUAACCAAAACGCAGAGUUUGGUCUUGAUGUAUAUUGCAAUUAGUGGCGCUAAUGUAUAGUAUUAGCGGCACCGAGCGUUAAACGCCGCAAGACAUCUUAAUCAAAACGCAGCGUUUUGGUAUUGAUGUAUACUAUAAUUAGUGGCUUUUAAGGAAAACGCCAGUAAAGGAUAGUUAUAGCAGUGUUUGGUGGUAAGAUCCUCAAAAUAUCUUAACCAAAACGCAGAGUUUGGUCUUGAGGUGUAUUAGAAUUAGUGGCGCUUGCUGAAAAACGCCGCUAAAGUAUAGUAUUAGUGGCGCUUGUGGAACGCGCCGCAAAGUGUCUUAACCAAAACACAGCGUUUAGUUCUUGAUGUAUACUGGAAUUAGUGGCGCACAUGGGAAAACGCCAUUGAAGCAUAGUAUUAGCGGCGCUUGUACCGAAACGCCACAAAAAACCUAAGCCAGACGGCAUCGUUUCGAAACUUUUUAGUGCUUUAGCGGCGUUUUUCCUUAAAGCGCCACAAAUCAUUUUAUAUGUUUUUUAUAUUUAAUUUGUUUAUUUAUAUUAAUUAAAAUUUAAUUUAUUUUUAAUUGAAUAUUUGUUAAAAAUGGAAAACUUGAAAUAGUAUUAUUUAAAAUAAUUUUAAAAAAUGUUAGGUACAUGACUGAUUGAUUUGUAAUUUAUAUAUUAAAUAAUUUCAUAUAUAAUUAUAAAAGAUAGUUUUUAAAAUAUUUAAUUAUUUAUCAUUAUAGUUUAGGGUUUAAUAUAUAUGCAGUUUAGGGUAUACGGUUAAUUUAAGAUUUAAGGUCGGUUUAAGAGCUACAAUUUUAACGUUUAUAUAGAUUAUGGAAUUAUGGAUUCUGGUUAAUUUAAGGGUUGUAAUUUAGGGGUUAUAGAUUAAGAGUUAGGGAUUUAAGGUUUAUGGAUUCGGUGUCAGGUUAGGCUUUAGGGUUUAGAUUAAUUAGUGUGUUUUAAUUUUUAUAAAAUAUGGUUUAAGGGUUAGGGGGUAGGGGGUAGGGAUUUGGGUUAGGAUUUAGGGUUUUGAUUAAUUAAUAUUUUUUAAUUUAUGUAUUAAAUAAGGUUUAGGGUUAGUACAAGUUAGGGUCGGGGUUAGUGGUUUAAGGGUUAGAAGAUAAGAGUUAGUGAUUUAGGGUUUAAAAAUUCGGGGUCAGGUUAGGCCUAUUGGGAACUUUAGUGGCGCUGCAAAAUUUUUAUUUUAUUUAAGGGUUUACGUUAUAGAAUAUAUGAUUUAAUGUCCAUGGUUUAGAGUUUUAGGGAUUACAGUUUAAUGUUUAUUAUUUUGGGUUAAUAGUUUAUGUGUUAGAGUUUGUGUUUAGGGUUUAAGGAUGCUGUUUAAAAAUUGAAGAACAUUUAGAUUUUACUAAAGAUUCAUGCAAUUUAAUAUAUGAAUAUAAAAUAUAUGUUUUGUACAGUAACAUUGGCCACGCAAUUACCCUAAAAUAUGGUUUAGGAAUAUUACGGUUUGGGACUUUUGGUUUUGACUUUUACUGUUUGGGGCUUUAGGGUUUGGGGUUUGAGGUUUGGGGUUUUUGGUUUGGGGUUUGGGGUUUGGUUUUUGAGGUUUAAGGUUUAGAAAUUAUAAUUUAAGCAGGUUUAAAACGCGAAUUUAUUUUCUUUAAAUGUAUUACUCUCUCAUUUUUUUAUUAUUAAUUUUUCCAUUUUAUAACUUUGGUUUUAAUUUUGGAUCAAUUUAACUUCAAUCUUGGAUGACACUAUUUUGACAACUCACGUGCUAGUAUAUUUGUAUUCUAUUCUUAGCGUAUAUAUAAUUUAAAAUAAAUUAUAAAUAUUUUUAAAUUUUGUAGAAAUUUUAAACUUUUUUUGCAAUGAAAGCCGUUAGAGGCAUUUAUCUCAAAACGCUGGAAAGAUUAUUUAACGUUAAGUAAAACUGCAUCGUUUCCUGUCACUGGGAAGGGGAACGGCGCCGUUUUGUUCAUCCGUAUUCGCGGCACUUUGAAAAAUGCCGCCAAGUUGGAUUAGGAGCUAAUGAAACUGCGUCGUUUUACGUUGCUAUUAGUGGCGCUUUCCAUGAAACGCCGCAAAAUUGUAUUUAUGUUUAUUGAAAUGUUGUCGUUUUUGUCUAUUGUAUUAGUGGCAUUUUUCGGAAACGCCACAACAUUGGGUAAACUGUUGGGGAAACGGCUUCGUUUUGACUUAUAGUUAGUGGCGCUUUACUUGAAACGCCGCAAAAUUGUUCUAACAUUUGUUGAAACGUUGCCGUUUUGUAAAUGUAAUUAGUGGCGUUUUUGAGAAAACGCCAGGGGUUUGAGGUAAGUGUUGAUGAAGCGACCGCGUUUUGAGUUAUUGUUAGUGGCGCUUAGUUUAAAACGCCGCAAAGUUUUGACCUAUAUUUUAUGGCGCUUUGCUUAAAACGCCGCAAAAAUGUUUUUCAAUGUUUGAUUCGAUGCCGUUUAUCUAUAUUAUUAGUGGCGUUUAUAGGGAAACGCCACAUUUUUCAGCUGUUUGUUGAUGAAACGACCGCUUUUCAAUUAAAUUUAGUGGCACUUUGAUGUAAACGUCGCAAAUGGAUAUUUUUUUAGAUGAGAACGGCGUCGUAUUUUUUCCAUCAGUCUGACCAAAUAUUACACCCGAUAUUUCUCCAUCACUUAUCCCCCAAAUACUCAUUCUCCCCCAAAUCCCUAAAAUUUCCCCUAAUCCCUAACAGCCCCCCAAACCCGACCACCUGCUACUCUGCCAUCUUCUGUGCUGCAUCACUCCGUCCGUCCGUUUCUGGCGCCGCAACCAUCGGUAAGUUUGAGUACUUCGUUCUUCGUUCUUUUUCUUCAUGCGUUAAUGUCUCUCUGUUGCUUCUUCAUUGCUGUUGUUUUGACUCCUUCCUCAUAGCAACCCACGCUUUCAAUCUUUCAACUUUCCCAGAAACUCCAAGACUGAAACCGAGGAGAAGACGCUGCACUUAGUAAUUUCGGAUUCCAUCUUCAGUUUUGGGCAAUACCCUUUCCAAGGUAUAACGCUGUCGGUAUUAAUUUCAUCAUUUAAAAUUAGUGGCUUUGGGUCCUUAGUUCUGAUAUGGUUACUUUUAUUGGACUCGUUGAUGCUCAAAAAUCGGUCCUUUAUGCGUAAAUGGGUCGAUGCUUUUGAUUAGUUUGAUAGUGGGUUUAGGGUACCACGUGUUUCUUUUAUGUGAAAUGCCUUUAGUUUGCUAUAUAUAUAUGGCGUGGAAAAGUUAUUGGCAUCUGUUAUAUCUAAUGAAUUUCUUUUAAAAACUUUUCAAUGGGAAUCUUUUUUGUUAAAGAAAAACCAUUCUUCUGUUUGAUUAUAAUGAAUAUAUAUAGGCUUCCUUUUAUCAUUUCUGAUUUGGUUUGAUUUUGUUGUAACUUGUUAUAACCAAACUGAAAUCCGAAUUCAAUUGCUAUAAGUGCCUAACUGUUAUUUUGUAGUAAUGGAUUUAGAGUUAAAGUGUUUUAUUUUUUUCCUGUUUAUUUGGGUGUAAUUUUCAUAUGUUUUCCUUUUUUUUUGUAGUAUUUACUCCUAUUUUAAAUUUAUUUUGCAUGCAUUCCAAUUUUAGAUGAAGUGGUUGUAUGUUUGAAAUCGAAGUCAAUAUUUACUUUCAUAUUUCUUUCAUGCCAUUCCCAUCAAUCAUUUCAGCACUAGGCAUGAAUUCAAAAUUGUUCAGGUAUCCUGCAAAUGGCAUUGUUGAUAAGGAUGCAAAAUUUGUUUUCUGAUGUUAAUAUAGCCUUGAUUUUUCUCAUGUAUAGUUGUCAGUUGUUAUGGGUAAAUUUUAUAUAAUUUUAUUUAAUUUUAUAAUUAUUCGAAUAUAUAUUCAUAAUUAUACUGUAUUUAUAAUUAUCGAUUUUCAAUUUAUCAAUUUACAAUUUUAUUUCAAUUAAUAAAUGUUUAAUAAUCAAUUAAUAAAUUGAUCGAUUAAUUGAUUGAAUGUCAAUGAAUUAUCAAUUUUGGUUAGUUAAUUGAUUGAAUGUUUAAUAAAUUCAUUAUAUAAUGAAUUCUCAAAAAAUUAUUACUUGAUUGCAUGUUUAAUAUAAAUAACUUAUUAUGAUAUAUAUUUUAAAGUUAAUAUAUAAUUUCAAUAUUUAUUAUAUUUUUAAAUAUAUUUUUACAAUUUAAUUUAACUUAUUGAUAAUAUAUAUAUUGUUAAGUAAUAUUUUUUUAAAAUUGAUAUCUUACAUUACUUAAAUAUAUAUUUUUAAGUAUAUUCUACAUGACUUACAUAUUACUUACUAAAACAUAUUUUUUACUAAAAUUUACUUUAAUAUAUUACUUGAAUAUAUUACUUAAAUAAUUUACUUAAAUACAUUACUUACUAAAAUUUUUUUAAAUUUUAAAUACAUUACUUGUUUAAUAUAUUACUUACUAAAAUUUAAGUAUAUAUUACAUUCCUUACAUAACUUGUUAAAAUAUAUUAUAAUUUCAAUAUUUAUUAUAUUUUUAAAUAUAUUUUUACAAUUUAAUUUAACUUAUUAAUAAUAUAUAUAUAUUCUUAAGUAAUAAUUUUUUAAAAUUUAUAUCUUACAUUACUUAAAUGUAUAUUUUUAAGUAUAUUUUACAUGACUUACAUUACUUACUAAAACAUAUUUUUUACUAAAAUUUACUUGAAUAUAUUACUUAAAUAAUUUACUUAAAUACAUUACUUACUAAAAUUUGUUUAAAUUUUAAAUACAUUACUUAAAUAUAUAUUACUUACUAAAAUUUAAGUAUAUAUUACAUUACUUACAUAACUUGUUAAAAUAUAUUAUAAUUUCAAUAUUUAUUAUAAAUAAGAUACAUAAAAGUGACUGACUAUUAAUAUUUACUUACAUAAUUUAAUUUUGUAUUUACAAGAACUUACAUAACUUAUUAAUAUUCAAUAAACUUAUAUAACUAUCACACAUACACUUAUUAAACUUACAUAAUACAUGACUUAUAUAAAAUUCUCAAAUAAACUUACAUAAUACAUUAGUUAUAUAAUAACUUAUAUAAACUUACAUAAUACACAUUACUUACAUAGCAUACAUAACUUACAUAAUACACAACUUAAAUAGCUUACUUAAUACAUAACUUACAUAACUUAGACACGUACAUAACUUACAUAAUUUACUUAAUACAUAAAUAUAUAUCAUAUGAUAUAUAUUUAAAAAAACUCAUUUGUAGUUACCACUGAACAACUUACCCUUGUAAUUUCUGGUGAAAAUCAAACAUCAAGAAAUAAGAAAUGGACCGGUCUUGGAUGAAUUUGUCAAGGGUAAGCGACGGUUAUCGAAAUGGAGUACAGACUUUUCUAAAUUUUGCAUUUCAAUAUGCAAGCCAGGAGAACAUGAUUCUUUGCCCAUGUAAGAAGUGUGUCAACAUAAACUGGCAUUAUCGUGAAGUUGUAUACGAGUAUCUAAUUGUUGAUGGGUUUGUUCGGGGUUAUAAACAAUGGCUUUUUCAUGGAGAAUGCCCGCCUAGUACUUCCUCUUCAAGGAUGGAUGUAUCUUAUGACAGUACUACUUACCACCAGUCUGUUAGAGGGGAUGACAUGGAAGGGAUGUUGCGGGAAGCAUUUAAUAUUCACAAUCAUGGUUUACAGUCGUUCCCAGCCGACUUUGUUGCAUCUGAUGAUUGUAAUAUUGGUGGAAAUGCUUUUACCGAACCUGGAAGAAGUGUACAUCAUGAAGAGCCGAAUGGAGAAGCGGUGAAGUUCUACGCGCUACUUAAUGACAUGAAUGAAGAACUGUUUGAGGGAUCAAAAUUCUCAAAAUUAUCUUUUUGUAUUCGUCUUUUCCAGUUAAAGUGUUUGGGAGGGUGGACCGGGAACUCUUUAACAAUGCUGUUAGAGUUUUUGAGAGAGAUGUUUCCGUUUGCAAAAAUCCCUUAAUCAUGCAAAGAUAUGAAGACUAUGAUAAAAGACUUAGGUCUUGGGUACACCAAAAUCCAUAGUUGCCUGAAUGACUGCAUGUUGUAUUGGGGCGAUCGAAGAAACCAGUAGUGCUGUCACAUAUACGGCCAAUCACGUUGGAUAAAUAGAAACACAGAAGAUAGGAACGACGAUGAAAAUGAUGCACAGCCAAGAAAGAAGCCGGUCAAGAUUUUACGGUAUUUUUCGCUCAUACCAAGGGUUCAAAGGCUUUUCAUGUCGUCGAAGAUAGCGGAGUCUAUGACGUAGCACCAUGAUGGACGAACCGAUGAUGGGAAGAUGAGGCAUCCGGCAGAUUCUUUAGCUUGGAAAUCAUUUGACAAUAAAUUUCCAAGCUUUGCAAGUGAUCCUAGGAGUGUAAGGCUUGGCUUAGCAUCUGAUGGAUUUAAUCCGUACAAGAUCAUGAGUACUGCGUACAGUACUUGGCCAGUAGUGCUUGUUCCUUACAAUCUGCCUCCGUGGAUUUGCAUGAAGCAAUCUUCCCUUAUCUUAUCUAUGAUUAUCCCUGGAGAGAAAGGGCCCGGGAAUGAUAUCGACAUUUAUCUACAGCCACUUAUUGAAGAGUUAAAACAAUUGUGGACUGGUGUCGAGACAUACGAUGUGCUGAGAAAGGAGAACUUUAAUUUACGUGCAGCUUUGAUGUAGACCAUUAAUGACUUUCCCGCUUAUGCCAAUUUAUCUGGUUGGAGUACCAAGGGUCGUUAUGCGUGUCCUUGUUGUGCUGCACAAACAUGUUCGCAAUGGUUGUACAAUGGGAAGAAGUUCUCUUACAUGGGGCACCGUUGGUGGUUACCGAAAAAUCAUAGAUUUAGAUUUCAGAGUUCUGUAUUUGACGGCACUGAAGAGUUCAGAGAAGCUCAUUCGCAGACCAGUGGCUCUGAAAUCUUGUUCAUGUUGGAAUAUAUGAAUUUCAUUUAUGGGAAGAUGAACCAACCGUCAGACACGCAAAGAAAUAGAAGAUCCAAUGAUGAAGCUGAUGAUGACUCUGAUGAAGAGGACGAUCCUAAUGAGGCGGACUUGUGGAAAAAAAGAAGUAUUUUUUUUGAGUUGCCUUAUUGGGAGCAUCACCUUCUACGACACAAUCUUGAUGUUAUGCACCUUGAGAAAAAUGUCUGCGAGAACAUUGUGGGUACAGUUUUGAAUGUCGACGGAAAAUCAAAAGACAAUCUUCAAAGUCGACUUGAUUUAGUCCAAAUGGGAAUCUGACCUGAUCUUCAUCCCAAUCCACUUCCGAAUGGGAAAUAUCGGUUGUCACCUUCUAUAUUUUCAAUGUCCAAGACGGAAAAAGAAGUGUUCUGCAAGGUGUUGAAGGAUAUAAAGGUUCCAGAUGCGUAUGCAUCGAAUAUAUCUCGAUGUGUUAGUGUUAAAGAUCGAAGAUUAUAUUCGCUAAAAUCACAUGACUAUCACAUCUUGAUGCAAGAUUUACUGCCAGUGGCUCUACGAUGUUGUAUGUCCAAGAAGGUGACGUCUUGUAUAAUUGAACUAUCCAACAUAAUGAAAGCCAUUUGUGGUAAAGUUUUGGACGUUCAAGAACUUCAGAAGGUACAGGAUCGAGCCGCUUUGACUUUAUGCAACCUGGAGAAAAUCUUCCCACCUUCCUUCUUCACUGUUAUGGUUCACUUGAUAAUCCAUCUCCCGCACGAAGCAAUUCUUGGCGGACCCGUUUUCUAUCGAUGGAUGUAUCCCAUAGAAAGGUGUUAAUUAAAAAAGUAUAAGUUUUCCUUCAUUCACCUCUAUGCCUUUACUUUCAAUAAUUAAGAAAUGUUGUAUAUUCUGUUUAGGUUUCUAUCCAAAUUAAAGUNNNNNNNNNNNNNNNNNNNNNNNNNNNNNNNNNNNNNNNNNNNNNNNNNNNNNNNNNNNNNNNNNNNNNNNNNNNNNNNNNNNNNNNNNNNNNNNNNNNNNNNNNNNNNNNNNNNNNNNNNNNNNNNNNNNNNNNNNNNNNNNNNNNNNNNNNNNNNNNNNNNNNNNNNNNNNNNNNNNNNNNNNNNNNNNNNNNNNNNNNNNNNNNNNNNNNNNNNNNNNNNNNNNNNNNNNNNNNNNNNNNNNNNNNNNNNNNNNNNNNNNNNNNNNNNNNNNNNNNNNNNNNNNNNNNNNNNNNNNNNNNNNNNNNNNNNNNNNNNNNNNNNNNNNNNNNNNNNNNNNNNNNNNNNNNNNNNNNNNNNNNNNNNNNNNNNNNNNNNNNNNNNNNNNNNNNNNNNNNNNNNNNNNNNNNNNNNNNNNNNNNNNNNNNNNNNNNNNNNNNNNNNNNNNNNNAUCUUUUUAUGAAUGGUUAAGCCAAACGGUAUGCAGUUCGAGCUUCCGCUUACAAAUAAUAAUGUUUUCUCAUAACAUUUUUAAUUACUCAGUUUACUUUCCAUUCAAUAGGUUUGGAGUGGGAAGAACGUAAACGACGAUGUUAAAUGGCUCUCCCAAGGUCCAAAUCGAGUGGUUAAAAGAUAUAGUGCGUUCCUCAUCAACGGAUUCAGAUUUCAUACAAAAUAUCACGAGAGGUUGAGGAGAACGCAAAAUUGUGGAAUAGUUGUCAAUUCUGCAAUUACAAGUUAUGCUAGUGCUAGGGACAAUAAUCUUGUCGAGGGAAAUGUGGAAUAUUUCAGACAUCUUACUGACAUAAUUGAGUUGGAUUACUACGGCAAAUGGAAAGUUGUCUUAUUUCGUGGUGAUUGGGCCGAUGUUAAUACAGCUCGUGGAAUUAAGCAAGAUCAAUUUGGUUUUACAAUGGUGAACUUUGACCUAUUGAUUCACACAGGACAACAACUGAUAAAUGAGCCGUAUGUAUUCCCAUCUCAAGUCAAACAAGGUUUUUACUCAAAAGAUCCAACUGAUGAGGGUUGGUACGUUGUACUCUAUAACAUCCCUAGAGACUUGUUUGACAUGGGCAGUGGAACUAGAGAUAACAUCGACAACAGAUCAGUAACUUUGCCCUUUCCAGAACAAAACUUAAACGAUAAUAUCCCUAGUACUAGUGCACAAUUUCAAUGGGUUCGUCAGGAUACCGAUGCAGAUAUUUACGAAUAAUGAUGUAGUAAGAUUUUACGAUUGUUUAAUUAUAUGUAAUAUCAUAAUUUAAAUCUUGGUCUUAUUAUAUAUUUCAACUAUUUUAUAUGUGCUGUUAUUGUUGUAAUUAGUUAUCCCGUUGUCAACUAUUUUAUGUGUAUUGCAGAUAAAAUGCCUAGAAGAAAAAUUCUAAGGGGAAGCAUUGUUCAAAAUAAUCCAAACUCGACAGAAACAAAUAGUACUGAACAACAGACAGCAGUUGGAUCUUCGAAUGCUCCGAUUACAGCUGAGGAUCCUACAGAAGUUCAAAGUAAGUUUACAUUUAAUUUACAUGCGUGUUGACUUAUAGUUGAUUUAUUUUUCAAAUUCUUAUGUUAUAAUAUACCAUUUGUAGCUGAAAAUGGUGGGACGCGCAGAGGUCGAGGACAUACGCUACUUAGAGAGUUAUAUGAGUUAGAUCCAGUCGAGCGUGUCAAAGUUGGACGAAACAGUUUUGGUCAACCUGUUGGAUCAGAAGCUCGACUUUUAGCAGGAUACAUGGGCAUUUUAGCACGAAAUCCGAAUAUGUUGCCUAUCAACUACGAGUCAUGGCAUCAAAUGCCCGAUAGCAACAAAAACCAAGCCCUCGAUAAUAUUAAGGUAACAAAAUAUUAAUGCCAUCUGUAAUGCUUGGGAAAUAGUUUCAUUUAUAUUUACUUUAUUAACUUGUGUUUUUUGUUUUUUGUAGGUGAGGUUUGCUUUAGAGGUCUCGGAUGAUUACGUAAAGAAGGCAUUGGGAAAAAUAUGGAGAGACAAUAAAAGUACUUUGAAGAAAAAUUAUUAUAAAACAAAAACAACCCUCGAUGAGAAAUUGCAAAAUGUCCCGCCGGGUAUGUUGAGGUACCAAUGGGAAGAUGCGGUUAGAUUUUGGCAUUCGAAGAAAGGCGAGGUAUGACGUACUUCCAAACUAUUGUAAUUAUUUUGGUUUAUAGUAUUUUCUAUUUACGUACUAAAAUUUUGAUAAUGUAGGAUCAUGAAAAAGUUGGAAAAAGCAGCAGGCAGAAACAAAAAUUCACCCACACAGCCGGGUCAAGAAGUUUUGCAUGUGUAGCUGAGGCGGAGGUAUUUUUAAUUUAUUUAAUAUUGUCGAAUAUGUAUAACAUUCUAUUAAAUAAUAUUUAUACUACCAUAUUGUAGGAACUGUCGUCCGGUCAAAAAGUUGGACGCCUUCAACUUUUUGAAAUUACACAUAGGAAGAAAGAUGGAUCUCCCAUGACUCCUGAAGCCGGUGAAAUAAUGGUACGUUUACUUAAUACGAUUUGACUUAUUUUAGUUAUUUUUAGUGUUUAUUUUCUAAUGGUUUAAUUCAUUGCUUGUAAUGCGACUAUUGUUAUGUUGCAUAUGUUUUUUAAUAUAUAAUAUUGCGUUCCUAACUAUGUGAUUUAUUUAUUAGGAAAAACUAAAGGAUAAAAAGGCGGAGUACGAAGCGAUUGCUUCUAGUGAUAGUUCUAUUCAUCUUGAAGACAUUGAUAACCGAAUUAUUACUGAAGUUUUGGGUCCUGAAAGGUAUGGUCGGGUUCGAUUUCAAGGAUCUUUUGUUAGCCCAACCCAAUAUUUUGGAUCCAGCUCCCACCAAUACAUGGCUUCGGGGAGUCAGGCUCAAGCUGAAGUUCAGAGGUUGAAAGACCAGAUGGCUGAGAUGCAAGCGACCACAGUUGAGGUUCAAAGGAAAUAUGAAGAACUCCAGCUACAACUUAAAGCAGAGGCGGCAGCGAGGGAAGCAGAGGCCGCAGCGAGGGAAGCAGAGGCUGCAGCCAGACAAGCAGAGCAGACCAAAAAGUACGACGAACUCCAGCAACAGCUUCAGACUGUGAUGAAGAUGUUUCAGUCGUAACUUCCGCCUUCAUAGUGUAUGACAUAAAUAUUUUUAUCAUUUUAACAUUUAAAAUUUUUGCAAAAAUACUAUGAAUUCACUUUUAUUUAUUGAUAUUAAUAUUAUAUAAAUUCACUGUGAUGAAUUCACUUUUAGCGGCGUUUUUUUUCUAAGCGCUGCUAAAGAACAUGGUCUUUACCGGCGUUUUUGUUUGUAAACGCUGCAAACGUUUGCGACGUUUUCGUUAGCGGCCUUUUUUGCGGCGCUUAGUGGCGUUAAAAAGCGCCGCUAAAGGCCUAAAAAAACGCCGCUAAAGACCUGUUUUGGUGUAGUGGAAGAAAGAAAAAGAAAGAAAGAAAAGGAAAGGAGAAGAAAGAAAAAAAAAAAGGAGAAGAAGAGGGAAGGAAGGAAAAAGAAAGGAAAAAAGAAGUAAAGGUAAUUUUUUUGUAUUAAUUUUUUUUUGUAAUAUUUGUGUAAAAAAUGUAUGUGUUUUAUUAUUUUAUUUAGAAUAUAUAUUUUAUGAAAUUUAUUUAGCAUGAAAAAAUCCAUGUUAUAUACAUUCUAUGUUGAUUAGAAUUUUUUUUGUGAAAUUUAUUUAGGAUGUUGUAAUUAGUUUUUUUUAGGAAAAUAGCAUUAAAAAUAAAAUUAUAAAAAAAUAUGUUUAAGAAAACAUAAAAUACGAAAAGAAAAAAAACGGAAAUUGUAUAUUCAACGAAAGUAAUAAAAUCCGAAAAAAAUUGUAUAUUUAAAAAACACACUAAAUUAAUAAAUUUCAAACAUAAUGUACUAAAAUAAUGUAAAAUAAUAAAAUUAAAAAAUAUGAUUUUUUUAAAGUAAUAAAACACGGGAGAAAAAUACGAACAAAGGGCCGAAGUAGGGGUUUUUUACUAAAUUUUAAAAAAAUAAAAAAAAAAUUAAUACAUUUCAAACAUAAUGUACUAAAAUAAUGUAAAAAAUAAAAUACAAAAAUAAUAUAUUUUAUUAAAAGUAAAAAUAGGGAAAAAAAAUACGAGCAAAUGGCCGAAAUAAGGUUUUUUUUAAAUUUAUUUAAAAACACAUUAAAUUUAUUUAAAUUUCAAACAUAAUGUACUAAAAUAAUUUAAAAUAAUAAAAUUAGAAAAUAUGAUAUAUUUUAAAGUAAUAAAAUUCGGGAAAAAAUACGAACAAAGGGCUAAAAUAAGGGUUUUUUAUUAAAUUAAAAAAAGAAAUAAUUAAUACAUUUCAAGCAUAAUGUACUAAGAUAAAUUAAAAUAAUAAAAUAUGAAAAUAAUAUAUUUUUAUUGAAAGUAAUAAAAAUCGGGAAAAAAUAUGAGCAAAGGGCCGAAAUAAGGGUUUUUUAAUUUAUUUAAGAAACACACUAAAUUUAUUUAAAUUUAAAACAUAAUGUACUAAAAUAAUAUAAAAUAAUAAAAUUAUAAAAUAUAAUAUUUUUUUAAAGUAAUCAAAUUCGGGAAAAAAAUACGAACAAAGGGCCGAAAUAAGGAUUUUUUACUAAAUUUUUUUAAAAAAGAAUUAAUUAAUACAUUUAAAACAUAAUGUACUAAGAUAAAGUAAAAUAAUAAAAUACAAAAAUAAUAUAUUUUUAUUUAAAGUAAUAAAAUUCGGGAAAAAGUUCCGAGCAAAGGGCCAAAAUAACGGUUUUUUUUAAAUUUAUUUAAAAAACACACUAAAUUUAUUUAAAUUUCAAACAUAAUGUACUAAAAUAAUGUAAAAUAAUAAAAUUAGAAAAUAUGAUAUUUUUUUUAAAGUAAUAAAAUUCGAGCAAAAAAUACGAACAAAGGGCCGAAAUAAGGGUUUUUUUAAAUUUAUUUAAAAAACACACUAAAUUUAUUUAAAUUUCAAACAUAAUGUACUAAAAUAAUUUAAAAUAAUAAAAUUAGAAAAUAUGAUAUUUUUUAAAGUAACAAAAUUCGGGAAAAAAUACGAACAAAUGGCCGAAAUAAGGUUCGUUUACUAAUUUUUUUUUGAAGUUGCAGGCAUCGCAAUGGCUUCAUUGAUUAGCAGGGAUACACACAUCUGAUGCGGCUAAUGAGAUGGUAAUAUAUUAUUAUUUGUUAAUCACGGGUUCUAUUAAAAAAGGAUAUAAGUAAUAUAUAGAAAUAAAUCAUGGUAUCCUAAUUGUUUCUGUAAUUUAACACUAUCAGGACUCGUAUCGAGUAAUAAGGGGUCGGGUGAAUGGUUUAAAGCAUCCCCCGAAUUCACUAUUGAUGUCGUACUUGGAGCAAGCCUGAUUUGGGUCAGCAGCAUUGAUCCGGACGUUCGACUUGCGGUAUGAUUUAUUAUCUGCGAUAGUGGAGCGGUGGCGCCCGGACACCCACACUUUUCAUUUUCUGUGUGGGGAGUGCACGGUGACCUUAGAGGAUGUUACGCUGCAGCUUGGACUCCCAAUCGACGGAAGUCCCGUAAAGAGAGUAAGUUCAUUUACUGAUCCAGCUGCACUAUGUAAUCAGCUAAUAGAAGACUCGCCAAACGACGAUGACGAAAAUUUUACGAGCUUGAAAUUUACAUGGCUGAAAGCCAAAUUUGGACAGUUAUCAACGAAUGCCACUGAAGGUGAGUUGAUGUGCACUGCUCGAGCGUACAUCAUGCAUAUCCUAGGGGGAGUACUGAUGCCCGAUGCAAACAACAACAAGGUGCAUAUGAUGUACUUGCCCCUAUUAGCUGAUUUGUCCAAUGUUCGCUCGUAUAGCUGGGGCUCCGCCGUUCUAGCAGUGUUAUAUCGGAAGCUUUGUCGGACGACAAAGCCUUCUGUUGUAGACAUGGGCGGAUGCCUUACAUUGCUGCUGUCCUGAGCGCUCCAUCGGAUGCCAUUUUUGGCAUCGGUUACUCACCAACCGUAUGUUUAUCCACUAGUGAACAGGUGAUAAAAUAUAGCUUGUCAUUAUUUGUAGUCAUAGUAUAUUGAAUGAUGUUACCAACCCUAAACCCUAUAUUUCUUUUUGUAGGUGAAGUAUUUAUCCGGGUAUUGGGAGGUCGCACACUAUCCCGAUAUACCGACUCAUGAUCAAAUAGCAUGCCGGGAAAGGGGUAAGCUAUUCUAAUAUUAGUCUAUUUACCUUACUCACACCGUGUUAAAUUUAUAUGGAUGCCAUAUAUGGAUGCAGUUUAUAUGGAUGCCAUAUCGUCGCCCGAAAAUUACAGCUGUGAUACCCUCGUCUGCACACGUUCAUUCUGAAAUGUGGUGCACUAAUGCACCAAUUAUAAAUUUCAAUGUAGUCGAGUGGUAUCACGGGGAUCGGGUGCUACGACAGUUUGGUUGCAUCCAAUAUAUAUCCUGGAUCCACCAUGCGAGGUGGGGGCGGUUCACGGCAUGAAUAGGAGAGGAAAACCACAGUUGGAUUGGGGGUUAAGCACUAAAAAUUUAUUGCGCUGUGGAACGAUCGGAUAGUUCGAAGACCUCAGAUGGUUUUGGCAUAUUCAUUGCAACCAUUAUUAGAGUACAUACAAUGGUACUAUAAUUGCGGAAAGCAAUAUAUACUUGGAGGCCAGUCGACUGUAGCCCCCCGCACAUGCAGCUACCUGGGGGAUCGUGAUCCUGAACCAGAUCCCGAGCCGUAGCCCGAGCCAGAUCCCGAGCAGUCACAUUCACAUAGGGAUUCACAAUCCUAUCAUCCGAAUUUGGUGGGCGAUGAGUAUAUUCCGAGCUUCUUAGGGGGUGAAUACGCAUACGAGUUUGAUCUCUUUGGAUCCUACCCGCCGCAGUACGACACUCCCAGCCCGUACCUACAGCAUCAUGGGACUUCUUUAGGUUCAAGUUCAUCGAUGCCGAUUGAGCCACAUGAUUUUUCUUCUAUGUUUACCAUACCCCCUGCGCCAAAUGAGGACGUUGGUCGUCGCCAACACCCAGAACGUGACCGUCGACCUCCGCAUAGGUAUACCCCUAGGACCACACCAUCAAACCCUCAGUUCUAAGGGUUUAUUGCACUUUUUUGUACAUUACAAAGUUUGUACUUAUUGUAUAAAUUUAAUUACUUAAUUUAUUACACUUUUUAUAACUUAAAUUGGAUACAAUUUAAGCAUAAGCAUAAGCUGAAUAAUUUUAAUUAUUCCAAAUGAAUCAUGUUUUUAAUACCUUAAUUUGGAUACAAUUUAAGCAUAAGUAUAAGUUGAAUAAUUUUAAUUAUUCCAAAUGAAUUAUACUUUUUACAACAUUAGGUCAAUUCUGACCCGAUCCUGAUGACUGUCCGACAUGAUAGUUUCGCUGAGGGCAUUUAUUUUGACUAUGACCACUUAACCUGCAUAAUCCACAACGCUUACCGUCGAAUUUCUCCCUAAUGUCCAUUUCAUUAUGGAUUCUGGUUGAUUGCGAACGACCUCUUGGAUUCCUGCGUAGCCCUCUGUCUAGGAUAAACUUGAAAGUCGUUAGAGGCAACUCUCACGUAGACAGGUCAGGCAAGACGGGGAACUCAUUUUCCUAGACACGUAAUGUGCGCUCGAGCGUGUACACAUCAUCGACAUAUUUUUCAACAUUAAGGUUCACUUUAGCACACGCUGCCACGACAUGCGCACAUGGAUAAUGAAGUGUUUCGAACUCCUGCACUCGCACCUUCUGUUCCAGAUAUCAACUCCAUAAGACCUAGGUGGUAUACCAGGUCGACGACCGAUGGUCUCAGUAACUCGAAACGUUUCCAGACGUCGUGAAUAUAUUUCUACAUUCAUGGACCUCGCCAUCCGACGGUUUGCAACCAUUGCAUCCCUGACAUCUUCGACAAACACAUGUCCUGCCUCCAUCUAGUCAACUUGUUGCUGACUCAUUCUUGGCAUCAAGGUAGCCAACCUGUAGAAUAUAGCAGAGAAGACAGAUGCAAUCGGAUGAUGACGUGUUUUUAACAAUACAUCGUUUACCCCCUCCACUAAGUUUGUGGUCAUUUUUCCAUAACGAAAGCCCUCGUCAAAACAUUAAGCCCAUUGCCAACCCAGAAAGAUGUGUUUAUUUGCCCCUCUAUGUCACUCUCAAGUCGAAUCAUGCUUUGGCGGAAAAUAUGUGGCUCUAACUCGUACGCUGUAUAUAGGGGUGAGCAUUCGAUCGAAUCAAAUCGAAUCGAAUCGAAAAUUUUCGAGUUAAUCGAGUUUUCGAAUAUCAUUUUAUCAUCCUAACUUUAUUUGAAGUUUUAUCGAAUCGAAUCGAGUGAGAUGGAGAUCGAAUCGAAUCGAAUUAUUUGUUCGAGUUAAGUUUAAAAAUAAAAUAAAAUUAUUGUUGUUUAUUUUUAUGUAAUUUUUUAAAAAAUAAUUUUCUUUAAAGUUUUUAAACAUAAUCAUACAACAAAAAAUUGAAGUAAAUAAGUGAAUAAAUAAAAGUAACACAACAUCAACCCAAAUAAACAACAUGAUUCCAAAUAAACAACAAAAAUAAUACAAAAAGAUUAUAAUAAAAAACAUACGUAAAAAUCCAAGUAAAUAGCAUGAGUCAAAAUAAACUAAAUUAGAAAGAACAACAAUAAAUCUGCAGCUUCAAAAUGAUGGCUAUAGUUUGAUGAUGAUUGGUGCAUACAAAAAUAAUUGACUGCAAACUUAAGAACUAAAAGAUUCUUAUUUUUUGUGUUGGUUAUGUUUAGUACCAGAGAUGAUAUCAGUUCUUUCUCACCACCCCCACAAGAAAAGCUUAAGAACUAAACAAUAAGUAGUGAAAAUAAAAGGGAAUUCCACUCUCUCCCUGCAAACUUAAAGAAAACUCAAGCCUGCUCUGCUUUGAUAUACCUUAGAAAUCAAAAAAAUGGAAAAACAGUAGCUCUACUGAACUUUGUAACUAGUUGUUAAAACAGUGUUUUAAUGUUCAAAUAGUUAUUUAUAAGCACUUGAUUAGGUAAAAAAUGCCAAAUACAAAGAUGUGAAAUAUGUAUAGAAAUGAUAUUAAAUACACAAUUGAAAACUGCUCCCACUUUCCAUUACGUGUGGCCUAAGUUCUCAAAUUCCACAGAUAAUAUAGAUGGUAUUGCCCUAGGGUUUAUGAAUUAAAAUUGAAAAACAACCUAUCACAAAAUGAAGAUGAAAAUCAUGAACACACACACAUAUACAAACCUCCUAAAUUCAAUCACUAAAAUAGUAAAGUCCAUAGCUAGAAUGAACUAAAGAAAAAAAGAUUAAAAAAGAACCCUCUGAUAUCUACUUAAAAUCCCAUUUUUUCAUGGAAAGAAGUAACAAAUAAUAAUUAUUAAAAAUAACCCUUCAAUAUCUAUUUAAAUCCCAUUUUCCCCCAUGAAACAAAACACCCAAUGAUCAUUCAAUCAAAAGAAAUACGAAAUAAAACAAGAAUUAACACCAAGAGAGAAACAAAAAAAGGGGUAUAGAGGUAUACCUUAUGUGAAGAAUCUCAGAUCCUGAAAGCCUGAAUCCAAAAACAAACAGCAAAAAANNNNNNNNNNNNNNNNNNNNNNNNNNNNNNNNNNNNNNNNNNNNNNNNNNNNNNNNNNNNNNNNNNNNNNNNNNNNNNNNNNNNNNNNNNNNNNNNNNNNAAUAGGUUUAAGUUCAGGAAAGAAGAAACCUGUGGCAAAAGAAAGGUAUUUUGGGUGAUGGGUUUAAAGGAACUGAUUUUGCUUUGUUAAGUAGAGCUACUGUUUUUCCAUUUUCUUAAGAUUAUACUUGGGUUGUUUUCAGGCUUUGGUUUAUUUUUGUAUUGUUAUGGGGAAGAAAAGAUAUUACCAAACUGAACAUGUUAAAGAAAAUACAGUGUAAGGAAAGGAAUAAAAGUUAAUAUACCUUAGAAAUCCAAGGUAGAAGACGUAAAAGCACUGGCGGUGGAGCAGUCAGCCGUGGAGGACCCUGGACUGGAGGUGGAUCGGUGGAGAAGGGUGGACGGAGGUGAAGAUUUUUGAAUUGGGAAAAAAGGGAGGAGGGAGGGCACGAGCUUAGUUAGGGAUUUUGGAAGUGAUUUUGUUUUAAAUGUAGUGUAUUUUAAAAAUAAAAAAUAUAUGUAGUAUAUUUUAAAAAUAAAAAAUAUAGUUUUUAUUCGAAUUAUUCGAAUUAUUCGAGUUAUUCGAAUUCGAAAAUUCAACUCGAUUCGAACUCGAAAUUCGAAAGAAAAAAUUUGAAUUGAUUCGAUUAAUUCGAUUAACUCGAUUCGAAUAAUUCGAAAUUCGAAUUUUUUUCGAUUUUUUCGAAUCGAAUCGAAUUUUGCUCACCCCUAGCUGUAUACGUAUUAAGAAAAAAUAAGUUCCAGUAACUCGAUAACAUAAAACAUUACAACUUAUAUUGAAAAGAUAAGUUUAUCAUUUAGCCAUUGCCACGACUUGUCUCUUCCAGUCUGCAUUCUUAUAAUCUUUAUGGAAGUUGGACGCAAUGUGAUGGAUGCCGUAAAUGGAUCUCUAUGGCACACCUAAACGCCUAAUUGCUACAAUUAAACCUUUCCCUCUAUCGGAGAUGAUGCAAAUGUUAUCGUUGCUAAUAACAUACCUCCACAGGUUAGUGAGGAAGAAUUCCCAAGAUUUCAAGUUCUCCUUAUCUACGAUGGCAAAUGCUAUUGGGAGCAUGUUUCUAUUACCGUCCUGAGCAACUGCAAGAAGUAGGAUCUGUGUAUAUUUUCCAUAUAGCCUGGUCCCAUCCACCUGCACAAGUAGCUUGUAGUAGGGAAAUGCCCGCACACAUGAAUCAAAUGUCUAGAACAUCUGAUGGAAAAUCUUUUUUCCCUACUGUAACUGGUCGUCCGGGCCGUAAUAAGGCUUUGUCUGUAACUCAAUCACAGUCCCCAGUACGUACUCCCGCAUAGUAGCUAUCCAUCCUUGUAGCUCGUUAUACGACGAAUCAUAAUUCCCAUACAAUUGCUCCAAUGCCAUCUGUUUAGCUAUCCACGUCUUUCGAUAUGAUACUCGAUAUUGGAAUCGUGCUUGCAUUUUGGCAAUCAGCACCGAAACUUUAAUGGUCAGCAUGUCCUUCACCAUUGGCAUGAUACACAUAUAGAUAGUUUUCGAAUCAAGUUUUCCAUGAUCUUCUGUCAUACGUGUUGAUGUGCAUGUAUGAGGACCAACAAAUUAAGAAAUUGAAAGGAAUUUUCAAAAUGAAAGAAACUGGGGGAGGUGAGGAAGGAAGAAACAUAGAAAUAAAAAUUGUUUCCAAAGGGGAGGGGCUAACCAGAAAUAGGGGAUCGAAGAAAAUACUUCUUCUUCCCUUUUUUCGGAGGAAAAGGUGGGUCCAAGUAAAAUCGAUGAAACAGAAAAACUACGAGUAACUAGAAAGAAAAAAAAUAAAAUUAAGAGUGAACUCAACUUUCGUUUUAAAGAGACAUACUAUAAAAAUAGACCAGUUUAUGAAACUUUUUAUCUGGAUGAGAAUUAAAAAAAAUUGAAGUUAGAAAUAAAAAAAAGAUAAAUAUUUAUAGUAUGGGAUUAUGUGAAUACAAAAUUUGAAAUUAUUUAAUUUUUCAAGAUUCAUGAUUCUCCGUCUCAACAACAUCGUUUUUAAAAAUUCAUGUAUAAAUUCUCUCUCAAAAUGUGAUAUAACUUAUCACGGCAUCCCGUAUUUAUUAGUAUCUUUAAUUAAUAUUUAAUAUUUAUAAACACUAUUUAAGAAAAAAACCAAAUAAUAAUAAUAAUAAUAAUAAUAGUAAUAAUAAUAAUAAUAAGGGUCUCAAUCAUACCAUUUGUGGAAUGACUGUCUUUUUACUAGUAGACAGUGGCACAUUAAGCCUCUCCCAUCAUUCAUGGCAAUGCACUAACUAGCUUAAAAGCUAAAAAACCAAGAGCAGUCACAUUAUUAAAAUUUCAUUUAAUAAUUUAAUUGAUUUAUUGAGUCACUUAUAAAAAUUAUAUAAUUUUCUUUCAUUUUCAAACUAAAGACUCUUUUAAAUAAAAGAAAUAAUUGAUUUUUUAUUUGAAUAAUGAAAAUUUUUAAAUGAGAAAAAUAUAUCAAUUAUUUGAUUUUAUUGUUCUAGAAAGCAUGUAAAAUAAUUUGUGUUUAACAAUUCAAUUUUUCUUUUUAUAUAAUACUUGAAACUAUCCAUAAUUUCUUCUCAAUCGUAAAUAAGAGGACAAAUGCGCUUAAACUCACGUCCUCCUAUUCUGACAAUAAUACCAGUACCAAAUGGACAAUUCAAUUUAAAGACGAAAAUAAAUUUUAAUAAUUCACGUACUUGAAUAAUUUUUUUUAACAUUUCCAUAUUUAAAAUAUUAUAUAUAUAUAUUAAUCAUGUUAAUUAAUAGUUCAUAUUUUAUGCUAUACUUUAAUUAUUUAUGCAAGGUUUAUAUAGUAUAAUUGUAUCUAUCGAGGUGGAUUCUCGUUAGGGCCUAGAAGUUUCUAAAAAUUUUAUUUAAAUCUAUUAAAAUUUUUGAAGAUUUUCACUAAAAUUUGUUGUUCCUCAUACAUGCACAUCAACACGUAUGACAGAAGAUCAUGGAAAACUUGAUUCGAAAACUAUCUAUACGUGUAUCAUGCCAAUGGUGAAGGACAUGCCGACCAUUAAAGUUUCGGUACAGAUUGCCGAAAUGCAAGCACGAUUCCAGUAUCGAAUAUCAUAUCGAAAGGCGUGGAUAGCUAAACAGAUGACAUUGGAGUAAUUGUAUGGGGAUUAUGAUUCGUCGUAUAAGGAGAUUGUAAUAAGCCCAAUUUACCCGGGCCCUUACAAAACAAAAAAUAAGCAGUCUAAGUUUUUACAGGCCCAAACCCCAACAGCCCACUAACUAAAUUCCAACAGGAACCCUAGCAGCAUACAACCUUCAACCCUAGCCGCCGCACAUCAGCCCCGCACCACCACCCUUUGCGCACGUACGUGUCCCACGUACAUCUCCAGUUGGCCGAAUCUGCGCAACAAACGGCAAAACAGACGCAAAGAACAAGUAAACGAAAGAGAAAAACGCAAAAAAAAGAGAGAAUAACGGAAAUACAACUGCGUUGUGUUAUUUCUUUGAUUUUUCUUCAUCUUUCGACUAUAAAAAGUCGAGGAAAAUCUGUAAAAAGGAGGGGGAUUUCACGAAUCAAAUAAAAAACAGAAAAGAAAUUGAUAUCAAGAAGAGAUUUUAGAUUGAAGAUAGAUAUUUGUUUUUUUUUUCUCUUUUUUUUUGUUUUGACUUUUUUUAAAAAAAACUAGUAAGUAAUAAGAAAAAGAAAGGAAAGGACUUACCGGAGGUCCGUGGUCUUCUCGUUGGCCAAAGAUUGCCGUCCUUGGCGGAGCAGUGGCGAAGGAGCGGCGGCACGGCGACAUAAAGAUGCUAGGGUCAAAACCCUAGCAGAGAGAAAGGGGGCAACGGUUUUUUUGUUGUUUUAGAAAGUGGGCUGUCAAAUGAUUUUUAAAACAGAAAAUUUUGUUUAAAUAAUAAGGCAAUACGGUGUCGUUUCAUUAGGCCCCCUAGACGCCCAAAACGGCGUCGUUUUGGGGGCCAACCCAUGCACCGACCCGAUCUGGUCCCAAAUCCGCGUGUUUUGUAGCAUGGGGGAAUUUGCGCAAUUGGUCCCCCUAUUUUUGCAGUGUGUUUAAAUUAAAUUUCUGAUUUCUUUUAAAUUUCACUGCACAUUCUAUUUUUACUUCAAAUCAGUCCCUAUUACUGUGCAGCGUUUUAGGGAGGCGGAUUAUUUCUCUUUUGGUCCUCCACCCUUGCGCGCGCAUUCAAUGUGAUCCUGUUUUCAAAUUUACUUCGAAUUUAGUUUUUUUUAAGUUCAAUUUAACCCUUUUAUAAACUAUUUUAUUCAUUUUUUAUAAUUAUGUUAUACUAUGACAUUAUUAUUAUUAUUAUUAUUAUUAUUAUUAUUAUUAUUAUUAUUAUAUACGCUUGUUUUAAAAUAAUACAUAUACAUUUUUUUUAAAAAGCUUUUAAUACAUACAUAUAUUUUUGUAUAUACAAACAUUUUUUUUUACUUUUUUAAAUAUGAAUAUACGUAUUUUUUAUAUUAUCCUUCAUAGAUUUUUUUACAAACGUAUGUAUAUAUGUAUACCUACAUAUUUUAAUACAUAUUUUAAUACAUUCAUUUUCUAUAGUAUAAAUAUAUAUGUUUUUUGUUUUAAAUUAUUAUAAACAUUUUUAUUAUUUUAUAUAUGCUCCAUUAUUUUAUAUACAUAUUGUACAUAUUUUUAUAUUUUUACUUUAUUUACACAAUUCUCAUAUACAUAUAUGCAUGCAUUUUUAGAAAUUAUUAUAAGUUUUUAUGUAUUUCAUUCCCUUUUUAUAUGUAUACUUAUAUAUGUGUUUUAUAUAUGCAUUAACAUUUUAGCAUGUUUUUAAAGAAAAUAUAUUUUGGUUUCGUCAAAGCAUUAAAAUCGUUUUAUUUUUCUUAAUUUUUUUUAAAUAUUUGGCAAUCGUGAUUCUCGAGAAAGAUCGUGUCCUAACUUACUGGAUUGCGAUUAUUUUUUUUGAUGAAUUUAGAAAACCAAGUAUUUAUUUUGCAAUAAAUUCAUGAAAUUUUCAAAUAAAAGCUUAUUCUCAAGAAUCCAAAAAUGUCGGGUCCUAACUUACUGGUCAUGACAUUCUGGCAUCUCGAAAUAAGAAUUUUCAAAAGCAAAAGGCAAUAUUCUGGUAUUUUGAAGAUUUAAAAAUAUUGUGCCCUAACUCAUUGGGUGUGGUGUUUUAUUUCUUUGAAAUAAGAAUGUCUUAUUAUUUUGAUUCAUUCAUGAGAUAAAAAGUUUCCUUUUAAAAUCUUUUCAAUUUUUCAACACCAAGACAUUAAAGAAUCAAUUUGGUACCAAUUUUGGGGAGUUACGAGGGUGCUAAUCCUUCCUCAUGCGUAACUGACUCCCGGACUCAUUUUCUUAAAUUUCGUAGACCAGAAUCAUUUUAAGGUGAGCCGAUCACACCUUAAUAAAGGAUCGAUGGCGUCUCCAGUUUUUGUUUUUUUUAAGUCGACAACUAAAAUUUUUGUUUACAAAAAAUGGUUUCGACAGCUUGGCGACUCCGCUGGGGACACUAGAGAGUCGAGCUAGAAAUUGAUUCAUUUUUGUCUUGUGAUCAAAAAAUUAAAUUUGGGUUUUAAAAUCAUGAUUUCCCUUCGCAUUCAUUGAUUUUCAUCAUGAUAUGUUUGUUCGAUUGGCCUAAGUCUGUUCGUAUUUGCAUUUUGCAUUGCAUAAGUUGGUCAAAUUUACCCUCUAAGUGGGAGCGAGAAACUAGUCCUUCGUGAGGUUUUCACCUCCGUGCAGGGUAGUGGACCGCUUCCGGGAUACAUCUGUACCUAUGUCUUCGUGAGAUUUUCAUCUCCAUGCAGCCAUAGGGAAAUGUAUCCCCCUGAACUGAACUCGAUUCAUAUGAGCCUAUAAUGGGCGAGGAUCGAGGAAUCUGCUGGUUCGGGUACCCUUACUCUAGAAACUAAACCUCAUAUAGUGAGCUUUAGGAACUUGCCCUAGGUAGAACUAUUCCAAAACCCUAGUGGAUUCUGAAAUAAGUGUUCUUGCUAUUUCAUGUUUGUAUUGGAUUAUAUCUUUAUGUGUGAUACUAACUUGGGUUUGUUUUUGUUUUGACUGCAUGGCAUUUCAUUAUAGAAAAGAGAUGUUGAUUCACGUUUGGUUGUUAAUAGAGAACUUGCCAUGAAAAACGGGUUUCUUGAUAAGGUGGAAGAUAAUAUGGUUGUUCGAGUAUAGUCUAAGAAAAUGUGACACGAAAGGUAAUAGCCUAACAAGAGGAGUAUACGACUUUGCUGCAUGACCUGAGGAUUCAAAUUGUCAAAGUUUAUUCAAAAGUCAUCAAAGGUCCUAAUCUUUUAAAGAAGCUAAUGAACGUGAGUGAGCAAGGAGUUACGACCUAGAUCAAACAAAAAGGAGCUCAAAUUCGCGAGAUGCAUCUUAAAAUCCGAAUGAUCGAUGACUUCUCUUGGAGUACGAGGGUGAAGCCGUAUAGAUAUAGCCGCUUUAUGUAAAGAGAUUUGUUUUCUAGUGAAGUUUUCUAGUAAAGAAUUGAACAUGAAUCAACGUCUCUUUUCGCAUUCAUUUCAUGCAUUUGCAUUACAUUACAUCAUAUGCAUCAAACACCUCUAAAUGAUCCUAAUUAAUUAAAAUCACUGCUCAGUUAACCUGGAAACCAACCAACCAAUCAAACACCAUUAUGGCACUCGAGCAAAGAUUAAAGACAUGGAUCAGAGAUUGGAAAAGCUCGAACAGCACCAGAAAGAAAUGCAAGACCAACUCCAGUUACAAGUGCAGGAGCGGUUAGACAAGAUGCAACAGGAUAUGUCAGAGAAGAUACAGGAAUCCCAAAAUAAUAUGAUGGCAAAGUUAACCCAACUGUUGAAUGGAGGAGGUGAUAAGGGAAAGGGUCCCAUGGCUGAUGUCGAAGAGGGAAAAGAGGAUGAAUCACUCUAUCCUCCAGGCUUUACUCCUUCACAUGUGCGAAGUCAAGCUGAAUAUCUGCACAAAUCUACUGUCACAAUCAGGCCUCAGCAGUUUCGGGCUAGUGUUUCAAACUUCUAAGCUGGAUCGGGUUUUAAUCCCGGAAAUAACCCUAUUAACUCUGCCAUUCCUGACUUUGAUGAAGUGGCUAAAAAAGAAAGAAUAAAGGAAGAGUUACCAAAGCAGUUAGAAGAAAGGUGCAAAUGGCUCGAGGAGAAAUUAAAGGUGAUGGAGGUCACUGAAAGUUAUCGAGGAAUUGAUGCUAAAUAGCUGAGUUUAGUUCCGAAUUUGGUACUCCCUCAGGGUUUUUUACCCAAAUAGGAUAGAAAAAAAAUACUGAAAUGGGAUGUCAGAAAAAAAAUUUACCAANNNNNNNNNNNNNNNNNNNNNNNNNNNNNNNNNNNNNNNNNNNNNNNNNNNNNNNNNNNNNNNNNNNNNNNNNNNNNNNNNNNNNNNNNNNNNNNNNNNNUAUUGUAAUAUUGUAAUUUUGUAUGAAUAUUAUAAUUUUUUAUGAAUAUUGUAAUGUUGUAUGAAUAUUGUAAUAUUAUAAUUUUGUAUGAAUAUUGCAAUUUUUUUGUAUGAAUAUUGUAAUAUUGUAAUUUUGUAUGAAUAUUAUAAUGUGGGGAUAUAUUGUAAUAUUGUAAUUUUUUGUAUGAAUAUUGUAAUUAUUUUAUAAUUAAUUUGUUAGUAAUUUGGGAAAAAUUCACAAUAUUUUGUUCACCAUUGGCGCCUCCCAAAUAGGCACCACCAUUGGCGCCUCCCAAAUAGGCACCACCAUUGGCGCCUUCCAGAUAGGCGCCAAUACUAUGUAUUAUACGGGUUAUAUACUAACCCGGAAAAGUAUAAAUUAUAUUUUAAUCAAAAAAAUUAUUAUUAUUAUUUUAUUCAUUGGCGCCUACCAAAUAGGCUCCAAUGAAAAAGUAACCUAUUUUGGUAAAAAAAUUUUCUGACAUACUAUUUCACUAAAUUUUUUUUUCUAUCCUAAUUAGGUAAAAAACCCAACUCCCUCAUAAGUUUAAGAUGCCAGAAUUCGAGAAGUACAAUGGGACGACUUGCCCAGAGGCUCAUAUCACCAUGUUCUGCAGGCGAAUGGCUGGAUACAUUAACAAUGACCAGCUAUUAAUACACUGUUUCCAAGAUAGCCUAGCAGGGGCAGCAUCUAAGUGGUACAAUCAGCUGAGCCGUACCACAAUUGGUUCAUGAAGGGACUUGGCACAAGCAUUCAUGAAACAGUAUAGUCAUGUGACAGACAUAGCUCCUGAUAGAAUUACCCUUCAAAACAUGGAGAAGAAGUCGAGCGAAAGCUUUAGGCAGUACACACAAAGUUGGAGGGAAGUCGUAGUCCAAGUUCAACCACCGCUCUUAGAGAAAGAAAUGACGAUGCUUUUUAUAAAUACAUUGAAAGCCCCGUUCAUCACACAUAUGUUAGGAAGUGCCACAAAAAGCUUUUCUGACAUAGUCAUGAAUGGUGAAAUGAUUGAAAGCGUCAUAAGGAGCGGGAAAAUUGAUGCAGAGGAGAGUAACAAGAGGUCAAUCUCAAGGAAAGAGAAAAUGAGGUGAACAACACGAGUUACUCUAAACCAGUUAUUGUGAGUCAGCCAAGAAAGGUGGCUACUAACCAACAAAGUUUAUUAAGACAAUAAUCUAGAGUGAAACCAGGUACUGAGAAGCUCCAAUUCACACCAAUUCCGAUGUCAUAUAAGGAUCUGUAUCAAAGCUUGUUUGAUGCGCAUGUUGUUGCUCCUCAUUACUUAAAACCUCCACAACCUCCGUAUCCUAAGUGGUAUGAUGCGAACGCGCAAUGUGACUACCACGCGAGAAUUAUGGGGAACUCAAUAGAGAAUUGCAUUACCUUCAAAAAGCUAGUUGAAAAAUUCAUCAACAUGGGUAUUGUCAAGUUGGGUGACUCAUCAACUGCAGAAAAUCCUUUACCCAAUCAUGAUUGAGGAUGGAGGGACUGCAAUGUAUGAAGAGGUGGUGAGGUUUUCAUAUCGAUGCCAUAUAUGCAGCCACAAAUAAAAAGGUCCUUGUUAGAUAUUCGCCUGGGAGGUGUUAUAAGUAAUGGGACUGCAGAGGAAACCCCUAUAUUAUUUAGAGUUUGUUAGAGUAAUGUUCAGAACACACUUGUUGCUUUUAGCCUAGAAGCAAUAAGAACUUCUUUGUGAAAUAGGCUCAUGUCUGAACAUUAUUAUUUUAAUAAAAUACAUCAGUGCAAUCAUCUUUGAGCAAAUGUUCUUUCAUUCUUUACGAUUCUUUCAUUCUUUUGGAUUUUCUGCCAAACUAUUCUUUCAUUCAUUCAUAAUCAUAUUAUCUAUAAAUCCAUACAUUCUUUGUGUAUUCUUUAACACCUACAAUAGGUCCCUGGAUAUCAAUGACAUGAGUGACGCUGCUACAGACUCAAAAUCUCCUUUUUGAGUGAGCCAUGUGUUUAGAGAGAUCUCACAACUUUGAAGAGGACAUGGAUUGUAGCUUAUCUCCAGACUUGAUGAGGAUGGUAAAAUAAGAGGAUAGACAAAUCCAACCUCACAAAGAAUCAUUAAAAGUUGUGAGCUUGGUAUAGAUUGGAAUUGACAUGACCGAAAAAACAAAGCAAUACGUUGUUGGGUUACUUCAAGCAUUCAAAGAUGCCUUCGCAUGGUCAUACUAGGAUGUGCCCGGUUUAAGUGUUGUCACUGCAAUCUAAACAACAGCACGAUACCAAAAUUUUACAGUAUGGUCAAGGUGAAUAUCAUGAAUGGUGCAAUGAAAACUCUACCAGGGCAAUGCCACUUUUUUCAGUUUAUCACAUUUUUUUCAUUGAAGUUGAAAUUCUUUCUCUUCGAGUUUUGGCUAAGCUGAAGUAGGAUGAAGAUCCAAUCCCGAUACAAUUAGUUGAACCUAGUUGAAGAAAAAGGCUAGAAACUAUUCAUCAGGGGCAGAUGUACCAAGAAAUGAAUGAUGCGAGCCUAUAGCAAAAGGUUUGUCCCAGAGAAUUCCACGAUGGCGACCUAAUGCUGAAGAAGAUCCUCACUCUACAAAAAAUAUAACGGAUGCCAAAUUGGGAAGAACCUUAUGUUAUAGAGAAGGUCAUUUCCAGAGGAGCUUUGAUUUUGAGGGAGAUGGAUGAUAAACCUGCAAAGUCCUGUAAACUCAGGUUCAGUCAGGAAAUACUCAGCUUAAAGAAUGAGAUGACCAAGGUAAAAACCCGUAAAUGGCACUUUGAGUUGUAAAAAAUGACGAGAUGGAAAAUGAAAAAGUGAAAAUGAAAUUUGAAAAUGGAAAAGUAAAAUGGAGAGGCUAAGGUGAAAAUCCGCAAAGGGCGCCUUAGACCAAAGGGGAUUUGAGUUGAAAACCCGAAAAGGGCGGCUCAAAUAUUGAUCAGAAUGUGGCAUGAGAUUAUCAGAGUAGCUCAAAUACUAAUCAGCAUGGGGCAUGCAGUGGUCUUGCUAUACCUGAAUCAGCAGGAAAGGGUAGGCGACAUCUUGGGGCAUCAACAAAGUACUGUAGAUCUCCUAAACACAUGUUAAACUCAGAAUGGUCUUCAGAAAGUUUGUACAGAGAAGUUCAAGCUGAGAUAUCUGGGGCGCCUAAUCCUUAUACUCUUUCUUGUUAUUCUUGGAACACUUCAUUCAUUUCCAAGAUAUGCAUUCCUAAAUCAAUUUCUUUAUUAUCCAUCUUUACUAUCUUUGAUAUUUUAUUCAUUUCGAGCUAUGCUCAGAACCAACUUUCUUCUUAUCCAUGAUCUUUUUGCAAGUAUGUUGCAUUAGAAUAAUGAUUAAUAGACUAAUAAAAUUUUCACAAGGGAAGUUAUGCUUAUUACUCUAGAAUUUUUUAAAUAAUAUAGGAACCUCAAACAGGACUAUUGUUUAGAACGCACCAGGUUGGAAAUCCGAUAAAGAAGAGUCUAAAUUAAGACUAUCCCUUUGAAUUUUCUUGUCUAAAGUAUUAAUUAAACAAAAUGGCAAGAUGUCGUGUUGGUGUCAAAGCUUCAAUGAACAAGCAAGCAAUGAUCACCGAAUAAUAAGAAGAAGUUGUUCUUGGACAAGAUUUAUUCAUUUGUGUAUGAGCAUUUCGUACAACACCUUGGGAAUGGUGUAAGAGACCAAAAAGUUUCACAUCCUGUAUCCUUGAAUUGUGAUAACAAAGGAUUGAGAAAAGGCCAAAUCUUUUACUCUUGGGUUACAACGGGAAAAGAUGAUACAAAUUUUGCAUCCCAGUGGAUCAAACUUGGAGGUUUACAGUGGGGGCAAUCUGGUCAAGUGCUUAUUGGGAUCGCCAGUUGAGCAUAAAGGCGCUAUAGUACAUUAAGUGAUAAGACCUUAAUAAACUUGGAGUAAUGAUAACUCAGGCGUUAAAAUAUCAUUUUCAUGACAUUCUACAUUCAUUCAAAUGUCAUUCAUACAUGUCUAGUUAGGAGCAUUUGAUUCAUUUUGAUCAUGCCAUCCUAAUCAUUAGGCAUAAUUAGGUUCAUUAUACAGGUUCUGUUCUCCAGAGAACAGAUCAGCGAAAAUAGCAGAUCUUGCCUUCCUGCAUUGACAGCGAAGCAGAUCGAAGAUACCAGCCUUGCCUCCCUCGAUUGCAGUGGAGCAGGUUGAUGGUGGAUUUUACCUCCCUGAGGUUACAGUGGAGUACAUUGAAACCAGUAAUUCUAUCUCCCUGGGCAAUAGUGGAAUAGAUCAAAGAUUACAGGUCUUAUCUCCCUAAGCAGUAGUGGAGCAGAUCAAAGAUGGUGGAUUUUACCUCCCUGAGGUUACAAUGGAGUACAUUGAAACCAGUAAUUCUAUCUCCCUGGGCAGCAGUGGAAUAGAUCGAAGAUUACAGGUCUUAUCUCCCUAAGCAGUAGUGGAGCAGAUCAAAGAUGGUGGAUUUUACCUCCCUGAGGUUAUAGUGGAGUACAUUGAAACCAGUAAUUCUAUCUCUCUGGGCAACAGUGGAAUAGAUUGAAGAUUACAGAUCUUAUCUCCCUAAGCAAUAGUGGAGCAGAUCAAAGCUGGCAAAAUCUACCUCCCUGAGGUUGCAGUGGAGUAUAUUGAAGCCAGUAAUUCUAUCUCCCUGGUCGGCGGUGGAAUCAAUUGAAGAAAUCAGAUCUUGUCUUCAUGUAUUGGCGUGAAGUAGAUCAAAGAUAGCAGAUCUUGUCUCCCCAUACUAGUGGCAAAGUAGAUCGAAGAAAGUAGAUCUUGUCUUCAUGUAUUACCGUGAAGUAGAUCGAAGAUAGCAGAUCUUAUCUUCCUAUACUGGUGGCGAAGUAGAUCGAAGAAAGCAGAUCUUGUCUUCAUGCACUGGCGUGAAGUAGAUCAAAGAUAGCAGAUUUUGUCUUCCCAUACUGGUGGCGAAGUAGAUUGAAGAAAGCAGAUCUUGUCUUCAUGUAUUGGCGUGAAGUAGAUCAAAGAAAGCAGAUCUUGUCUUCAUGUACUAGCGUGAAGUAGAUCAAAGAAAGCAGAUCUUGUCUUCAUGUACUGGCGUGAAGUAGAUCAAAGAUAGCAGAUCUUGUCUUCCCAUACUGGUGGCGAAGUAGAUCGAAGAAAGCAGAUCUUGUCUUCAUGUACUGGCGUGAAGUAGAUCAAAGAUAGCAGAUCUUGUCUUCCCAUACUAGUGGCGAAGUAGAUUGAAGAAAGCAGAUCUUGUCUUCAUGUAUUGGCGUGAAGUAGAUCAAAGAUAGCAGAUCUUGUCUUCCCAUACUGGUGGCGAAGUAGAUCGAAGAAAGCAGAUCUUGUCUUCCCAUACUGGUGGCGAAGUAGAUCGAAGAUACAAGUCUUAUCUCCCUGAAGUUGCAGUGGAGUAGACAGAAGAAAAUAAUCCUAUCUCCCUGAAGUUGCAGUGGAGCGGAUUAAAACCAUAGAUCUUAUCUCCCUGAAGUUACAGUGGAGUAGACAGAAGAAAAUAAUCCUAUCUCCCUGAAGUUGCAGUGGAGCAGAUUAAAACCAUAGAUCUUAUCUCCCUGAGUUGCAGUGGAGUAGACAGAAGAAAAUAAUCCUAUCUCCCUGAAGUUGCAGUGGAACAGAUUAAAACCACAGAUCUUAUCUCUCUGAAGUUGCAGUAGAGCAGAUCGCAUCAGAUUUAUCUUUAAGUUGUAGCAGAACAAGUUGAAGCUCUAAGUCUUAUCUCCCUGAAGUUGUAGUGGAGCAGAUUAAAGAUAGCAAAUUUUGUUCUUUUGAGAAGCUACAACGUAUGAAUUCUAUCUCCCCGAUAUUGCAGUAGAGUAGAUUGAAGCACCAGUUCCUAUACCUCUGAAGAUGCAGCAGGAAGGAUUGAGGCUACUUGAAAAAGAAAAGCACCGAAGAAGCCGAGGCUUAGUAAGACUGGGUACAAUUGGGCUUUUCAGUCUUUGCUCUGUUCUCGUUACACGACAACAAGCAAAAAGGGGCAACUGUAAUAAGCCAAAUUUACCCGGGCCCUUACAAAACAAAAAAUAAGCAGUCCAAGUUUUUACAGGCCCAAACCCCAACAGCCCACUAACUAAAUUCCAACAGCAACCCUAGCAGCAUACAACCUUCAACCCUACCCGCCGCACAUCAGCCCCGCACCACCACCCUUUGCGCACGUACGUGUCCCACGUACAUCUCCAGUUGGCCGAAUCUGCGCAGCAAACGGCAAAACAGACGCAAAGAACAAGUAAACGGAAGAGAAAAACACAAAAAAAAAGAGAGAAUAACAAAAAUACAACUGUGUUGUGUUAUUUCUUUGAUUUUUCUUCAUCUUUCGACUAUAAAAAGUCGAGGAAAAUUUGUAAAAAGGAGGGGGAUUUCACGAAUCAAAUAAAAAACAGAAAAGAAAUUGAUAUCAAGAAGAGAUUUUAGAUUGAAGGUAGAUAUUUGUUUUUUUUUUCUCUUUUUUUGUUUUGACUUUUUUUAAAAAAAAUAGUAAGUAAUAAGAAAAAGAAAGGAAAGGGCUUACCGGAGGUCCGUGGUCUUCUCAUUGGCCAAAGAUCGCCGUCCUUGGCGGAGCAGUGGCGAAGGAGCGGCAGCACGACGACAUAAAGAUGCUAGGGUCAAAACCCUAGCAGAGCAAAAGGGGGCAACAGUUUUUUUUUUUUGUUGUUUUAGAAAGUGGGCUGUCAAAUGAUUUUUAAAACAGAAAAUUUUGUUUAAAUAAUAAGGCAAUACGGCGCCAUUUCAUUAGGCCCCCUGGACGCCCAAAACGGCGUCGUUUUGGGGGCCAACCCGUGCACCGACCCGAUCUGGUCCCAAAUCCGCGUGUUUUGUAGCAUGGGGGAAUUUGCGCAAUUGGUCCCCCUAUUUUUGCAGUGUGUUUAAAUUAAAUUUCUGAUUUCUUUUAAAUUUCACUGCACAUUCUAUUUUUACUUUAAAUCAGUCCCUAUUACUGUGCAGCGUUUUAGGGAGGCGGAUUAUUUCUCUUUUGGUCCUCCACCCUUGCGCGCGCAUUCAAUGUGAUCCUGUUUUCAAAUUUACUUCGAAUUUAGUUUUUUUUAAGUUCAAUUUAACCCUUUUAUUAACUAUUUUAUUCAUUUUUUUUAUAAUUAUGUUAUAUUAUUAUUAUUAUUAUUAUUAUUAUUAUUAUUAUUAUUAUCAUCAUCAUCAUUAUUAUUAUUAUUCCUACUAUAUAUAUAUACGCAUGUUUUAAAAUAAUACAUAUACAUACAUUUUUUUUAAAAAGCUUUUAAUACAUACAUAUAUUUUUGCAUAUACAAACAUUUUUUUUUACUUUUGUAAAUAUGAAUAUACGUAUUUUUUAUAUUAUCCUUCAUAGAUUUUUUUACAAACGUAUGUAUAUAUGUAUACCUACAUAUUUUAAUACAUAUUUUAAUACAUUCAUUUUCUAUAGUAUAAAUAUAUAUGUUUUUUGUUUUAAAUUAUUAUAAACAUUUUAUUAUUUUAUAUAUGCUCCAUUAUUUUAUAUACAUAUUGCACAUAUUUUUUUUAUAUUUUUACUUUAUUUACACAAUUCUCAUAUACAUAUAUACAUGCAUUUUUAGAAAUUAUUAUAAGUUUUUAUGUAUUUCAUUCCCUUUUUAUAUGUAUACUUAUAUAUGUGUUUUAUAUAUGCAUUAACAUUUUAUCAUAUUUUUAAAGAAAAUAUAUUUUGGUUUCGUCAAAGCAUUAAAAUCGUUUUAUUUUUUUAAAAUUUUUUUUAAAUAUUUGGCAAUUAUGAUUCUCGAGAAAGAUCGUGUCCUAACUUACUGGAUUGCGAUUAUUUUUUUUGAUGAAUUUAGAAAACCAAGUAUUUAUUUUGCAAUAAAUUCAUGAAAUUUUCAAAUAAAAGCUUAUUCUCAAGAAUCUAAAAAUGUCGGGUCCUAACUUACUGGUCAUGACAUUUUGGCAUCUCGAAAUAAGAAUUUUCAAAAGCAAAAGGCAAUAUUCUGGUAUUUUGAAGAUUUAAAAAUAUUGUGCCCUAACUCACUGGGUGUGGUGUUUUAUUUCUUUGAAAUAAGAAUGUCUUAUUAUUUUGAUUCAUUCAUGAGAUAAAAAGUUUCCUUUUAAAAUCUUUUCAAUUUUUCAACACCAAGACAUUAACGAAUCAAUUUGGUACCGAUUUUGGGGCGUUACGAGGGUGCUAAUCCUUCCUCGUGCGUAACUGACUCCCGGACUCAUUUUCUCAAAUUUUGUAGACCAAAAUCAUUUUAAGGUGAGCCGAUCACACCUUAAUAAAGGAUCGGUGGUGACUCCAAUUUUUGUUUUUUUUUAAGUCGACAACUAAAAUUUUUGUUUACAAAAAAUGGUUUCGACAGAGCUACAAGGAUGGAUAGCUGCUAUGCGGGAGUACGUACCGUGGACUGUGAUUGAGUUAUAGACAAAACCUUAUUACGGCCUGGACGACCAGUUACAGCCAGGAAAAAGGAUUUUCCAUCGGAUGUUCUGGACGUUUGAUCCAUCUAGAGCCAAACACAUAUUUUCGACAAUGGUUGGGUACAAUAGAGCCGUGGCAAUGUGCUCAAAGUUUUGACGAGGGCUUUCGUUAUGGACAAAUGACCACAAACUUAAUGGAGGGGGUAAAUGCUGUAUUGUUGAAAACAUGUUAUCUUCCAAUUGCAUCUGUCUUCUCUACUACAUUCUACAGGUUGGCUACCUUGAUACCAAGAAUGAGUCAGCAACAAGUCGACCAGAUGGAGGCGGGACACGUGUUUGUCGAAGAUGUCAGGGAUGUAAUCAAACCGUCGGAUGGCGAUGUCCAUGAAUGUAGAAAUAUAUUCACGACGUCUGGAAACAUUUUGAGUUACUGAGACCAUCGGUCGUCGACCUAGUAUACCACCUACGUCUUAUGGAGUUGAUCUCCGAAAUAGACGGUACGAGUGUAGGAGGUUCAAAACACUUCAUUAACUAUGUGCGCAUGUCGUGGCAGCGUGUGCUAAAGUGAACCUUAAUGUUGAACAAUAUGUCGAUGAUGUGUACACGCUCGAGCGCACAUUGCGUAUCUGGGAAAAUGAGUUCCCUAUCCUACCUGACCUGUCUACGUGAGAUGUGCCUCCGAAGACUUUUGAGCUUUUCCCAGACAAAGGGCUACGCAAUAAUUCAAGAGGUCGUCAGCAAUCAACUAGAAUCCGUAAUGAAAUGGACAUUAGGGAGAAAUUCGACGGUAAGUAUUGUGGAUUAUGCAGGUUAAGUGGUCAUAGUCGGAAUAAAUGCCCUCAGCGAAACUAUCAUGUCUGACAGUCAUCAGGAUCGGGUCGAAAUUGACCUAAUGCUGUCAAAUUGUUAUGUGUAAUGUUGUAAAAAGUAUAAUUCAUUUGGAAUAAUUAAAAUUAUUCAGCUUAUGCUUAUGCUUAAAUUGCAUCCAAAUUAAGGUAUUAAAAACAUGAUUCAUUUGGAAUAAUUAAAAUUAUUCUGCUUAUGCUUAUGCUUAAAUUGUAUCCAAAUUAAGGUAUUAAAAACAUGAUUCAUUUGGAAUAAUUAAAAUUAUUCAGCUUAUGCUUAUGCUUAAAUUGUAUCCAAAUUAAGGUAUUAAAAACAUGAUUCAUUUGGAAUAAUUAAAAUUAUUCUGCUUAUGCUUAUGCUUAAAUUGUAUCCAAAUUAAGGUAUUAAAAACAUGAUUCAUUUGGAAUAAUUAAAAUUAUUCAGCUUAUGCUUAUGCUUAAGUUGUAUCCAAAUUAAGGUAUUAAAAACAUGAUUCAUUUGGAAUAAUUAAAAUUGUAUCCAAUUUAAGUUAUAAAAGGUGCAACAAAUUAAGUAAUUAAAUUUAUACAAUAAGUACAAACUUUGUAAUGUACAAAAAUAUGCAAUAAACCCCUAAAAAUGAUGGUUCGAUGGUGUGGUCCUAGGGGUAUACCUAUGCGGAGGUCGACGGUCACGUUCUGGGUGUUGGCGACGACCAACUUCCUUAUUUGGCGCAGGUGGGGGUGUGGUAAACAUAGAGGAAAAAAUCAUGUGACUCAAUCGGCAUCAUGAACUUGAACCUGAAGGGGUCCCAUGAUGCUGUAGGUACGAGCCGAGAGUGUCGUACUGCGGCGGGUAUGAUCCAAAGAGAUCAAACUCGUUUGCGUAUUCGCCCGCUGAGAAGCUUGGAAUAUAGUCAUCGCCUGCCAAAUCCGAAUGAUAGGAUUAUGAAUCCCAUGUGAAUGUAACUGCUUAGGAUCUAGCUCAGGCUCCGGGUCGGGUUUCGGCUUGGGCUCUGGUUCGGGAUCAUGAUCUGUUGCAGGCUCUACCUCUAUCGGGGUCGCUGGGUACAAUCCCCCAGAUAGCUGCAUGUGCGGGGGGAAUACAGUCGACUGGCCUCCAAGUAUAUAUGGUUUUCCGCAACUAUAGUACCAUUGUAUGUACUCUAAUGAUGGUUGCAAUGAUUAUGUCAUAACCAUCUGAGGUUUGCGACCCAUCUGAUCGUUCCAUAGCGUAACAAAUUUUCGAUGCUUAACCCGCUAAUCCAACUACAGUUUUCCCCUCCUAUUCAUGCCGUGAACCGCCCCCACUUCGCGUGGUGGAUCCGGGAUAUAUUGGAUGUAACCAAACUGUCUGCACCCGAUCCCCGUGAUACCACUCGACUACAUUGAAAUUUAUAAUUGGUGCGUUAGUGCACCACAUUUCAAAAUGAACAUAUGCAGACGAAGGUAUCACAGCUAUAAUUUUCAGGCGACGAUAUGGCAUCCAUAUAAACUGCAUGAUUAAUAACAUGGUUAUAAUUUAACACGGUGUGAGUAAGAUAUAGAAAGUAAAUGAACUAAUAUUAGAAUAGCUUACCCCUUAUCCGGCAUGUUGUUCGAUCAUGAGUCAGUAUAUUGGGACAGUGUACGACCUCUCGAUACCCGGAUAAAUACUCCACCUACAAAAAGAAAUAUAGGGUUUAUGGUUGGUAACAUCAGUCAAUAUACUAUGACUACAAAUAAUGACAAGUUAUAUUUUAUCACCUGUUCACUAGUGGAUAAACAUACGGUUGGUGAGUAGCCGAUGCCAAAAAUAACAUCCGAUAGAGCGCCCAGGACUACAGCAAUGUAAGGCAUCUGCCCAUGUCUACAACAGAAGGUUUUGUCGUCCGAUAAAGCUCCCGAUAUAACACUGCUAGAAUGGCGAAGCCCCAGCUAUAGGAGCGGACAUUGGACAAAUCAGCUAAUAGGGGCAAGUACAUCAUAUGCACAUUGUUGUUGUUUGCAACGGGCACCAGUACUCUCCCUAGGAUAUGUAUGAUGUACGCUUGAGCAGCGCACAUCAAUUCACCUUCAGUGGCAUUUGCUGAUAACUGUCCAAAUUUGGCUUUCAGCCAUGUAAAUUUCAAGCUCGUAAAAUUUUUCUCAUCGUCAUUUGGCGAGUCUUCUAGUAGCUGAUUACAUAGUGCAGCCGGAUCAGUAAAUGAACUUACUCCCGUUAUAGGACUUGCGUCGAUUGGGAGCUCAAGCUACAGGGCAACAUCCUUUAAAGUCACCAUGCACUCCCCACACGAAAAAUGAAAAGUGUGGGUCUCUGGGCGCCACCGCUUCACUAGCGCAGAUAAUAAAUCAUACCGCAAGUCGAACGUCUGGAUCAAUACUGCUGACCCAAAUCUGACUUGCUCCAAGUAUGGCAUCAAUCGUGAAUUCGGGGGAUGCUUUAAACCAUUCACCCGGCCCCUUAUUACUCAGUACGAGUCCUGAUAGUGUUAAAUUACAGAAAAAAAUUAGGAUAACAUGAUUUAUUUCUAUAUAUUACGUAUAUCCUUUUUUAAUAGAACCCGUGAUUAACAAAUAAUAAUAUAUUACCAUCUCAUUAGCCGCAUCAGAUAUGUGUGUAUCCCUACUAAUCAAUGAAGCCAUUGCGAUGCCUGCAACUUCAAAAAAAAUUUAGUAAAAAACUCUUAUUUCGGCCCUGUGUUCGUAUUUUUUUCUGAAUUUUAUUACUUUAAAAAUUAUCAUAUUUUCUAAUUUUAUUAUUUUACAUUAUUUUAGUACAUUAUGUUUGAAAUUUAAAUAAAUUUAGUGUGUUUUUUAAAUAAAUUUAAAAAAAACCCUUAUUUGGUCAUUUGCUCGUAUUUUUUUCUCGAAUUUUUUUACUUUCAAUAAAAAUAUAUUAUUUUGGUAUUUUAUUAUUUAACUUUAUCUUAGUACAGUAUGUUUUAAAUGUAUUAAUUAAUUCUGUUUUUUUUAAAUUUAGUAAAAAAACCCUUAUUUCGGCCCUUUCUUAGUAUUUUUUACUUUAAAAAAAAUCAUAUUUUCUAAUUUUAUUAUUUUACAUUAUUUUAGUACAUUAUGCUUGAAAUUUAAAUAAAUUUAGUGUGUUUUUUAAAUAAAUUAAAAAAACCCUUAUUUCGGCCCUUUGCUUGUAUUUUUUCCCGAUUUUUAUUACUUUCAAUAAAAAUAUAUUAUUUUUGUAUUUUAUUAUUUUACUUUAUCUUAGUACAUUAUGCUUGAAAUGUAUUAAUUAUUUCUGUUUUUUUUUAAUUUAGUAAAAAACCCUUAUUUCGGCCCUUAGUUCGUAUUUUUUUCCCAAAUUUUAUUACUUUAAAAAAUAUCAUAUUUUGUAAUUUUAUUAUUUUACAUUAUUUUAGUACAUUAUGUUUGAAAUUUAAAUAAAUUUAGUGUGUUUUUAAAAUAAAUUUAAAAAAACCCUUAUUUCGGCCCUUUACUCGUAUUUUUUCCAAUUUUUAUUACUUGCAAUAAAAAUAUAUUAUUUUCGUAUUUUAUUUUUUACAUUAUUUUAGUACAUCAUGUUUGAAAUGUAUUAAUUUUUUCUUUUUUUAAAUUUAGUAAAAAACUCUUACUUCAGCCCUUUGUUCGUAUUUUUUUUCUCUGCAUUUUAUUACUUUAAAAAAUAUAAUGUUUUCUAAUUUUAUUAUUUUACAUUAUUUUAUUUCAUUAUGUUUGAAAUUUAUUAAUUUAGUGUGUUUUUUAAAUAUACAAUUUUUUGAAUUUUAUUACUUUCAGUGAAUAUACAAUUUCCUUUUUUUUCUUUUCGUAUUUUAUGUUUUCUUAAACAUGUUUUUUUAUAAUUUUUUUAAUGUUAGUUUCCUAAAAAAAUAAUUACAACAUCCUAAAUUAAUUUCAUAAAAAAAAUUUUAAUCAACAUAGAAUGUACAUAACAUGAAUUUUUUCAUGCUAAAUAAAUUUCAUAAAAUAUAUAUACUAAAUAAAAUAAUAAAACACAUACAAUAUACAUAACAUAAAUUUUUUACACAAAUAUUACAAAAAAAAUUAAAUUAAUACAAAAAAAUUACCUUUACUUCUUUUUUUCCUUUCUUUUUCCUUCCUUCCCUUUUCUUCUUCUCCUUUUUUUUUCUCUUUCUUCUCCUUCCUUUUCUUUCUUUCUUUCCUCUCCUUUCCUUCUCCUUUUCUUCUCCACCCACCGGGCUGAAUGGUCCCCCCAUUAUAAGGGAAGUGGUGCCGCCUGUGGUAGUGGCACCAUCGGUGCCGCCUCUGCCAUUGGCACCAAUGGUGCCGCCUAUGGCAGCCCCUUCACCAGGGUGCUAUCACAUCCCUGUAGCUUUUUUUUAAAACUUUUUUUUGUAUUAUUUUGAUAAAUAAAAAAAGUUAAUAUUAUUUUAAUAUUUUUUUAUUUUAUUUUUAAUAUUUUAGUAAAAUACCCCAUGUUGCUUAUCCAACCUACUCUGACGUAUGACGCACCCAUUGCGUCACUGCAAACGCAAUUUUGGUCCUUCUACAUGCUAUAAUAAAGGGGGCAAUGGUUCUGGUUUAGACAAGAAAACUGAAUGCGUUGAUGAAGCUUCUAAUUCUUGCUCCAUGUUGUUUGUUCUUCAUAGCUUUAAUAAAAUUACUUUAUGAUUACCUAUGGAUACCUCUCCGUAUUCAGCAUAUGCUGAAUUCACAGGGGAUCAAAGGACCUCCUUACAGAUUCAUCCAUGGCAACAACAAGGAAGUUACCAAAAUGAAACAAAAAGCUUUAAGUAAAUCUGUGGGCUUGACGGAUGAUUUAUUUCCCAAAGUACAGCCACAUGUUUACACCUGGACCAACAGAUAUGGUAAGAUCCAUGCUUGUUUUUUUCACUAUGAUUUAUAACUUGUAGUUCUAAGAAAAGGUAGACCCUUUUUCUUUUCACGUUAUUAGGGAAGAAUUUUGUUUAUUGGAACGGUGCUCGAGCUGAAUUGGUGAUUUCAGAGCCUGAAUUAAUCAAAGAGGUUCUGAAAAAUAGUGAACAAAUUUUUCAGAAAAAGGAACUUUCAGAUAUUGGUAGAAAGUUCUUGGGGAAUGGUCUUAUAUUCAUUGAGGGGGAAAAAUGGGCAAAGCAUCGAAAGCUGGCCAAUCACACUUUCCAUGGGGAAAGUCUAAAGGUAAGGCUUCCAAAUAUAUAAACCAGGUGUAAUUAAUUUACAAGAAUUAUACAUAGACUACAAUAUUUUGGUAAAAUUUUGUAUUGUUAGCUAAAGAUAAGUUUAUUAUGGACGUUGAAAAAGUGUAGUAAAAACAUACUUUCGAAAAUUUUAACACCAUUUACUACUUAGGAGGUCAAUUUUAAACUUGAUGCUGCAAAAUAAAAGAUUGAAUCAGAGAUUUAAAAAAAGUAAUUUCAUUAAAAAGCACUCUUUUAGCUUUUAGACUUGGAUUAAAAUCUAGUUUGAAAUAAGAUUUAAUUUGAAAAGGUGUUUAUUUGUCAAAUUUUUUAAUUUGAAAUCAUGAUUUUGUGUUGAAAAGUGUUUUCCAGACUCCAAUUAUAUAUGUCACUACUACUUACAUAUUGGAGGAUUGUUUGGGCAGAACAUGACUCCAGCAAUAAUUGCUAGUGUUGAAACAAUGCUAGAAAAGUGGAAAGGCCAAGAAGGCAAAGAGAUUGAAGUGUACCAAGAAUUUAGGUUAUUAACUUCAGAAGUGAUUUCCAGAACAGCAUUUGGUAGCAAUUACAUGGAAGGGGAGAAGAUAUUUGCCAUCUUGAGAAAGUUGACAGUAAUUAUGAGUCGAAAUCUUUCCAAGACUAGAAUUCCUUUGAUCAGGUAUCUUCCCUCUAAGCUUAAUUAAUCCCAACUUUUUCCUUGAUUUCAUGUAGCUUUUGAAUGCAACUUUUAGACUUUCAUUCCCCAUGGAUUUGGUUUUCUCAUAUAUAGCUGACCCUGGUUUGCUUUUGCAGCAAGUUGUGGAAAUCUGCUGAUUUGCUAGAGUCUGAAAAACUUUCAAAAGAAAUAAAAGAUCGUGUGAUGAAGAUUGUUAAGAAAAGAGAAGACAAAGUUGUGAAUGGAGAAGUCAAUAGCUUCCGCAGUGAUUUUCUUGGAUUACUUCUAAAUGCCUAUCAUGAUUCGGAUGCGAAAAACAGGCUUUCAUUGGAAGACGUGGUAGCUGAAUGCAAAACAUUCUAUUUUGCUGGACAAGAAACUGUUAAUUCCUUACUUGCAUGGAUAGUCUUGCAUUUGGCAAUCCAUGGAGAUUGGCAAGAAAAAGCGAGAAGAGAGGUGGUUGACAUAUUUGGUAACCAAAAUCCACAUCUCGAAGGCAUCGCCAAACUCAAAAUAGUAAGAAAACUAUCUAACUGGGAAUUCAAAUAGCCAUCGACAUGAUGUAAUCUGACAUAUUUUUCUAUUUUCCAAACAGAUGACUAUGAUCAUCAAUGAAACUCUAAGAUUGUAUGGUCCAACAAGUGUCCUCCAAAGAACAGGUACAAGAGAAAUUCAGUUGGGAAAGCUACUCUUGCCCGCUAAUAUAGAUAUUCUGCCUUUAAAUAUUGGACUUCACCGGGACCCUCACUUUUGGGGAAAUGAUGUGCAUCAUUUUAAACCUGAGAGAUUCGCUGAAGGGAUUGCCAAAGCUACCAAUUACACCGCGGCUGCCUUUUUCCCCUUCGGAUUAGGACCUCGAUCUUGUGUUGGUAUGACAUUUGCAAUGAUAGAAACCAAGAUUGCUCUCUCCAUGGUUCUACAACGCUACACCAUUACCCUUUCCCCUGCCUAUGUCCACUCUCCAAUACUUAUUCUUACCCUUCAACCCCAAAAUGGAAUUCAAGUAAUACUUGAGCCGAUACAUAGUAAUGCAUGAAGUACAUAGCCGUUAAGAACUAGAGGUUUAACAUGGUUCGUGAAUUCUACUUUUAAG
rnacentral:lncRNA from 1 species